rnacentral:lncRNA from 1 species
AGAGACAAUAAGUCAUCUCUAAUUUCCACUAUAAAACUUAUUGAAUAGGAGAAGAUCCACUGUUUUAGAUUGAUAUUCUUAGGGAUCGACCCAAUUAAGCAACAAGUAACAAAAAUAUCGAAAUAAAUUGAGAAAUUGAACACACAAAUUUAACGUGGAAAAACCCCUCCAAAGAGGAUAAAAAACCACGGGAAAAGAUAAUUUUACUAUAAUGGCAAAAGAACGAAGAGUACAAAAGAUGGAGAUAAAACUAAACCUCCAAACCCCGAAAAUAAAGAACCCUCAAAACGUAAACACAAAAUUCUCUGAAUGUGUUAUGAGUUCUAAUCUCUAAUGGGUGUAUUAUCUAAGGUUGUAAAAUAGCCUAUUUAUAGGCUAAAUUCAAAUAAUAAUAAAAUAAUCUAAACUAAUCAGUAUUUGAUUGAAACAAAUAAGCAGAGUUUAACUCGAAGAUUAUUUCUCAAAUUUGACUGAAAAUAAGAGUCAUACUUAACAAAUCUCCACCUCGACUCAUAUUUCUACAACACCAUAUUUGCCAAAGCCCGCCACGAGCCUAUCUUGAACUAUGUAGGGAAUUAACUAAGUCAAAUUUGUGCUUAGAAAUUGGAAGACUUGUAGCCUUCAACCUGUAUACUGCCAAAUCAAAACUAACCUGGGUCUAAUUUUCACAAACACAGUGCCCUAACUUUUCAAAACCUACAUUAAAAGAGAACCUCUCUUCAACGAAACGGUCAUACAUUUUUCCCUCCUAUGAACAAGUUGCCUCCGCUCCAAACGAGUUAACUUCGACUCUGUAACGGAUGAGGGAUGUCUGAUUUCAUCGGUCACUGUAGAACCUUCCAGAAUAUAAAGACUGUCAGUUCUUUUACCUUUUAACAAAACAAGAGCUCCAUGAGAUACUUUAAUGCCGCUUGACUCGAUGUUGAUUUUGCAUCCUUUGAAGUCUAAAAUACUCAAGGAGAUGAGAUUCUUUCGUAAAUCAGGUACAUACCUGACAUCUGAGAGUGUCUUAAUCGUCCCAUCGUGUAUCCUAAUUUUAACAGUACCAAUACCAAUUACCUUACUAGAUGAAUCGUUUCUCAUGCGCACAACUCCACCUUCAACCGAAUUGUAUGUGGAGAACCAUUCUCUAUUGGGACACAUGUGGAAAGAACAUCUCGAAUCUAGGAUCCACCCGGAUGUGAGCUUGGAGUUAUCGCUCGUUGACACUAACAAGAAAUUAUCACCGCUUUCAUCGAUCAAAUUUGCACCAGCUACAUCUUCCUCGUUACUCUCAGUAGCUCUUUUAUUUCGCAGUUUAUAACAAUCUGCUUUGGCGUGACCUAACUUUUUACAAUAGCGACACCUUUUAUCUCGUUUCUUUGAUGCCAUCAAAACGGAAGCUUGCCUAUUUGCCUUGCUAUCCAAAUAAAGCUCAUUGUCGAGUUUGUCUCUACUCAAUAAAUGACCAUUCACAUCUUCGAACGAGAGUUUGUCUCUGCCAUAAAUCAGGGUCUCCCUGAAAGACUUGUAUGAAUGGGGUAAAGAGCGCAAUAAUAGCAUAGCUUGAUCUUCAUCAUCAAUAUGAACCUCAAUGUUCUUUAAAUCAUUUAAAAGAGUAAUGAAUUGACUGAUGUGAUCUCUAAGAAGCUCUUCGUUCAUGCGAAACGUAAAUAGACGUUGUUUCAACACUAAACGGUUAGCCAGGGACUUAGUCGCAUAAAGAGUUUCUAACCUUUUCCACAAGGUGGAUGAGGUCUUCUCCAUCAAUACCUCCUGCAAUACUGUAUUCGCGAGGCACAACUGGAUUGCAGACAAGGCCUUUUCAUCAAGCUCUUCCCAUUUUGUUUUAUUUAGAUUCUUAGGCUUUUUCCCAGUAACUACCUUAUUCAAACCGGAUUGAACUAGAAUUUUCAUCAUCCGAACUUGCCACAGAUUAAAAUUUGUCUCACCAUCGAACUUCUCAAUUUCAAACAUUGUUGUUGCCAUAUCUGAAUUGGCUGAUCUAUGAAAACUGAAGUAGAUCUGAUACCACUUGUUAGGGAUCGACCCGAUUAACCAACAAGUAACAAAAAUAGUGAAAUAAAUUGAGAAAUUGAACACACAAAUUUAAUGUGAAAAAACCCCUCCAAAGAGGAUAAAAAAACCACGGGCAAAGAUAAUUUUACUAUAAUGGCAAAAGAACGAAGAGUACAAAAGAUGGAGAUAAAACUGAACCCCAAACCCCGAAAACAAAGAACCCUCAAAAUGUAAACACAAAAUUCUCUAAAUGUGUUAUGAGUUCUAAUCUCUAAUGGGUGUAUUAUCUAAGGUUGUAAAAGAGCCUAUUUAUAGGCUAAAUUCAAAUAAUAAUAAAAUAAUCUAAACUAAUCAGUAUUUGAUUGAAACAAAUAAACAGAGUUUAACUAGAAGAUUAUUUCUCAAAUUUGACUGAAAAUAGAAGUCAUACUUAACAGAUAUGAUAGAGAUAUUGAGUCAAUUCAAAAAUUAACAUGCAUGACAAGUACAAUUAUAUUGAUAAAUUCAACGGUUGGAUUAUUCAAGAAAAUAGAUUGAGUGUAUUGAAAUUUGAUUUGGCAAAAAAUAAUAAUAAAAUAAUUUGGAAUUUGGUGGAAGUUAGAGGACUAAAAGUAAAAAUAGACCAUAAAAAAAUUGGAGUCACAAAUAAAUAAAAGAUUUUCUUAACGUGACAUAAAAAAUAUUGAUAGAUGGAAUUGAAAAAUAAUGGUAUGGGCUAAAUUAAAUAAAGUAGAAAAAUUCAACAGCUAAAUUGUAAUUUUACUAUAUUAUAAAAAAUUAAUUGACAAUUUUUUUUAGUUAGUUGAUUUUUCUUGAGACAUAAUGAUUAUAUUAUAUAUUUAUUUAGUAUCUUUAGAUAUACUUGGACAAAAGGAAAGAAAAUUAGGGUUGACAUUUGGUGUAAUUUUAUUGUUUGGUGAAUUAAGAUAAUUUUUGGUCUGUUUUUUAAGCCUCAAGUCCGACCCGGAUAAAAUUGCUAAAAUUUAAAAUAAAUUUAAAAAAUAUAAUAUAUCAGAUACAUUAAAAUAAAUGUUUCUCAACAAAUUGAAAAUGACUUUAAAAAUUAUUUAUACUUAAAUAACACUAAGAUAGGUGCAACUUAACAAGCAAAUACCUCUAAAAUAGUAGCAAAAGUAACAAUAAAAUAAGAAUUAUACUGUAUCCCAAUAAUAACAACAAAAUAGUAACAAUAUAAUAGUGAAACGGCAACAAAAAGCAGCAGGUUUUUUUUUGGCAAAAUCGGGUCAGGCCAAAAAAUCUUACGUAAGGCCUGUCUUGUUUAGAAAAAUCUCUUUAUUUUUCGCCCAAGCCCUCCCACUUUUCGGACGGAGGCUUGAUCCAUUAUCAGGUCUAAUUAAAAGGUUGAAAAGUUGAAAAUAAUAAUAAUAAUUUGAGUGGAAGAAGGAAGAAAAAUUAAAAAAGAAUGAUAUUUUUCAAGGUAUAUUAGUCAUUUUACCAUUUUUAAAAUUUUAAAUUAGAAAAUAAAUAAUAAAUAAGAUAUUUUAUUGGACUAAUUGUAUUUCUUAGAUAAAAGUUUCAAUGGUUAAAUCCUAGCCAUUGAUUAAAUAAUAAAAUGAAUAAAUAAAUAAAUAAACAACUAGAAGAUAGAAGAGAGAUAAUUCUUUUCUCUAUAAGGACUAAUUUGUAAAAAUUUUUAUUCUAAAGAUUGAGUAGCGAAAUCUAAAAAUUGAAUUAGCUCUAAAUUAUAUGAUUAUGAAAGAAAAUUGGAAAGUUAAGCAUAAAAUAGUAAAGUUUGAAACUAUAGGGAUUAAAUUGUAAAGAUUUCAAAACAUCAGUUUAGAACUAAUUUAUAUGGUUUUAGAGUUUACAAUUCUGAAAAUAGAAUAUGAAAGUUUAAUGGUUCAAAAAUUAGGGACUAACUUGUGAAAAUUUUGAUAACAUUUUAACUGCAGAGAUUAAAUUAUAAAAUCUGGAAAUUUUGAAAAGAAGAAGAAAAAAGGAUGUUUUGAAAAAUUGUGCAAGCUGGGACUUAACACUAAACUGAAAAUAAAAAUAAGAAAAUAUGAUUUCUAGGGAUUGAACUGUAAAAUAGUGUAAAUUUGGGGCUACGAGGACUAAAUCGCAAAUAAUAAAUUCACCCAAAAAUACUCUGGAAAUAGGAUUUAGGAUUCUCUAAUUAAAAUUUUAAUAAUAUAAAAUUUUAGAAAGAAAUUUAAUAUCGUAUGGAAUCCAAAUAAUGUCAGAAAAGUAAAUAAAAGUUAAGGAUUGAAAUUAAAAAUUUUAAUGUGAGAUUCAUUGUUCUUAUAUGUUAAUGAAUUGGAGUAAAGGAUGUUACAAAAACACUAUUGCAAGUUGCAUGAAUGAGAUGAAAAACAUACAAAGCCAAGGUAAAAAUACAAAAGAUCUUUGUGUUGUAGCAAUUUUGUUUGAUAAUUAAAGGUGUUUAUGGGUCGGUUCGAGCUGGGUCUAAGUAUGAUAUUAAUAUAUUUUAUGUUUGCUCAUGUUUGGUCCGGCCUGAAAUCUAGGCCUAAAAUUUAACUAAAACCUGUCCAUAUUUGCAAAAGGCUAACUGAAGCCCAUUUUAGGCCUGACUAUAUUGUUUUUGAAAUAUUUAUUUUAUUUAUUUUUUAUUUUUUGAAAUAUUUUAUAUAGUUGUCUUAACAUUAUUUUAAUGUUUACAUUAGAGUAAUAUUAUAUAUUUAAUAUAAGUUUAUUUUUUAAUGUGUUCUAAAUCAUAUAAUAUAUACAAAUAACAUCAUAUAAAAUAUUAUAAACUUAAAAUUGGUCAAGUCAUGUCGGUCUCGAACCUUGAAUGUUAAAUCCCAAGCUCAGCCCAUAUUUUAAACGAGCCUAAUAUUUUUACCUGAACUCUUUCAAAAUUCGAACAAGUCAUCAAGUCUGAAUGGGUAACUUGACCAAUGAAUUGGUCUAUCAAUAAUAGCUUAAUAUUUAUUAUAAUAAAAUAUAAUAAAAUGUAUACAUUCAAACAUUGUGCAGAGCUUACAAGUAAAUUUCAUAGUCCAAAUGGGUUUGGGCCUUAUUUGGGCCAAACCUUUUUUCAAAAAAUAAUAAAACUAAAGGACAAUAAUAAUAAAUAAAUAAAAUUAUAAAAUGUUAUUUCAGCCAUUUGAAAAAAAAAUUAGUAUAAUGAUAAUUAAGAAAUAGUAACAUAUAGGGCUUUAAAAAAUUAAUGAUUUAUUUUACAUAGAUAAAAAUAUUAUCGAAGUUUCUGUACUAGAAAUCGGAUUAUAUUUUAUUUUCUUUAUUCAAGAAAUGAAUAAAUUAUUUAUUGUACGUUAUAUUAAAGAGCAAAUUGAUUUUUCUGUUAAAAAUUCUAUCCGUCUUUACUGUUAAAUACUGACGUGGUUGAUAGAGCAACCAGACAGUGACACUUAGUGUGCCAAGUGUACAGGGACAAGCCAAAAUUUUACUUUAAGCGAUCAUAGUUGAAUUAUAAAAUUUUAUCAUUAUACUAAGAAAUUUCCUAAAUUUCAAAGGGUCUAAAUGAAAAUUUUACCAUUUAGAGAGACCAAGGCCAUUGCUUUCACCAUGGAAGGACAAAUUCAAGCAGAAUGGAUGAAAUUUUUGACGUGGAGAGACUAAUUCAAGCAAUCAGAUAAUAAUACGUCAUCACUUAAAAGUAGAAAUAAAUAGAAAUUUUAAUAAAUAAACCAAUUUACUUUUUAAUUUAAUGUAUAUAAUAUAAUUUGCAAAUUUUUAAAAUAAAAUAUAAUUUAAUUUAAUACAGAAGUAUCGGUCAUCCUUUUAGCUCUUACCUCUUACAUCGUAUGUGUUAGAAUCUCAUGCAAAGAUGCCCCAUGUGAUGGUAAUGGUUCCCUCGAGGUCCAAAGAGUCAUGCCCAUCCGCAAGAACAAGAAAAAGAUAUCUGACACAUUAAAAAAUUGACACCCAAAACAUGAAAUAGACAUGGAGGCUAUGCAUGACACUAACAACAGUGGCAACUUCAAAGCCAAAUGGUUCAAAUCCAUUACAUUUCUUCUUCUUUUUUUUGUUGUUUUUUAUCAUAGUUUUUUAUCAUAUCUGUUGUUUUUUACAUAAUACUUAAAAUUACCCAAAACCUCCCCUCCAACCCAUAAAUAGAAGGAUAAUGCGCUUCAGUGUAUUCAAAUCCACGUCCUCUUACAUUAAUAACAAUACUCAUACCAAUCGAGCUAAAACUCAAUCGGUAAUUAUAGGAUUCUUAAAUCUUAACCAAAAUCGCCAAAAAGAAACAAUAUAGUUUAUAUAUUUGGUUCAAAGAAAUUAUCUCAGCUAAUCAAACCCACUUAAAAAAAGAUUAAACUAGUAAGCCCAAAGUUGUAAUUAAUUGCAUUAGGGUUUUCUUAUGAUAAACUAGUAAGUGUACGUGUUAGUCAUUCACUUUAAAAAGUUACAAAAUAGUUAUUAAAGUUAUUGAAUUAUUCGGAAAUUUUUAUCUAAUUCAUUGUGCAAUUAAGUUUUUUUUAAGUCCAAUUAGUGAGCUCCAAGUAAUGAUUCGGUGAUUGGUAUGACGGAUUAGUACCCAUCGACGAGUAGAAAAACAUACCUUAGAUCCAAAUUGACCUAAUGAUCAAUGUCGAAGAUUAGAGAAAAAAGUUGUUUUUGAGACUCUUUGCCUCGUAUUGAUUAUCUAUUUGACCAAUUAAAAGAAGCUUUAGUCGUUUUUAAGAUCAAUCUUAGGUCAAAAUAUUACUAGUUAAAGGUGAAAGACAAUAAUGUGCUGAAAAUAGCAUUCCGUACACGAUAUGGCCGUUAUGAAUUUUUGGUGAUGCUGUUUGGAUUGAAUAACGCUCUUGUAGCAUUUAUGAAUCUCAUGAGUCGCAUAUUCCAACCCUUUCUGGCCCAAUUAAUAGUAGUAUUCAUUGAUGACAUCUUAAUUUAUUCAAGAUCUGAAGCUAAGCACGAGAAACACCUCAAAAUUGUUUUACAAGCCUUGCGAGAGAAGCAACUAUAUGGGAAGCUAAGCAAAUGUGAAUUUUGAUUGUCUGAGGUUAUAUUUUUGGGACAUAUUGUUUCAGCAAAAGAGAUCCGUGUUGGUCUGAAGAAAAGUGAAGCUAUUGUGCAGUGGAAAGCCUUGAAAAAUGUGUCAGAGAUCCAUAAGUUCCUUAGUUUGGCCAGUUAUUACUGAAGGUUCAUGAAUGGUUUUUUAAGGAAAGUUAUGCUAAUAACGAAAUUAUUACAAAAGAACAUUAUUUAUAUGAAAUUAUAACAUCCCGAAAUAGGGCCUAGGACCAAAAGACUUAACUUCUGAUUAAUUACACUCAUUCAUUUAUAGUUAUUGAAAUACUAUAAAUAUUUGAAAAUGUUCCAACAAUCUCCCAUUUUCAAAGUAUUUUAGAUUUUGAUAUUCUUGGAAAUCAAUUUGCAUAAAUGAAGGUGUCUUACGGUUGAACUUUCACUUAGUGAAAACAUGUUAAAGUUAAUCGAAAUUGCAUGGUAGACUAAGAUUUAGACAAACUAUUACAUUAGAUUAACCGAACACAUCUCACACAAUGAUUUCAACAACGGUCAAUGCAUAGUAUCCAGGGACACUAUUAUGGCCAUGUGUCUGUGUCGUCUUUUCAUGAGUGCUGUUAGAGCCAUGCCUUUAAGCUCCUAGAAGCGGCCACACUUCUACUCACAUAGGUACAUCUCAUCAAGAGUGUUCCCGUAAUUAUAACACACUUAACAUAUUUAUUUUAUGAGUCCAUUAAGAGUACAUUACUCAUCCUUCCUAAUGAUUACGGGUACCUAGCACUUUAAUCUUAGGAUGGAUUUAUUUACAGUGCUAACAGUCUCAUACUAAUAAUUUACUUUGUCUCAUUAAACUCAAGACUUGACGUCACACCAAGCGUUGAAUCAAGUUUCCAUCAUGGGUGACUUUAAUUAAUGGGCUUGAGUUGAGUCUCAUCCCUUUUGAGGUCUUGUUGACUACAUCUCUAGCAAUAUUUUUUGUCAAAGGAUCUGCCAAAUUUUCUCUUGAACUCAUAUAAUUAAUAGUGAUCACUCCAUCAAAGAUUAAUUGUUGAAUAUAGCUAUGUCUUAAUCCAAUGUGUCUAGACUUUCUAUUAUAUACUUGGCUAUAUGUCUUUGCUAAAGUAGUCUCACUAUCACAACAGAUAGAAAUAGGUGAAAUUGGUUUAGGCCACAGAGGCACAUCAUAAAGCAACUUUAUCUUUAAAAGAGGAUUAUUUCUCUUAAAAAGAUGCUAUCAAAUAAGCCUUCCAAAACGGUAAAUUAAAGGAGUUUGUAGCAUAGGGCGUUUCAACAUUGAGAUAGGGUUCGCAAAGCUCAAACAAAGGCAAGCAGCAUGUCAGGGGUACUGUACAUGUUAUUAUAGGUACGAAUGAUGAAUGGGCGACUUCUAAUUCAAAGAGGAAAGCUCAUCUUUCAAAUGUGAUUUCUUUUAAUAUAGUUAAUAAGCCAUAUCAACAGGAGAAGUGACGGGUUGAGUUCAGCACAGAAGAUGAGGAUGCUAUUUGUGAUGAAGAGGAAAAUGAUCCUAUGGUAGCCACAACAACGGUGGCAAGUUUUCAGGUUAAGAGGAUAUUGGUAGACAGUAGGAGUGCUGUUGAGGUAUUAACUUGGGAAGUUUAUUGUAAGAUGAGGUUGAAGGAGCAAGCUUUGAAGAAAGAAAGCUCGUUGUAUGGUUUCGCAAAUCAACCGAUAGAUGUAAAAGGAUAUAUCACCCUACUUGUCACCUUGGGAGAUGGAGAGCACACUACUACAGAGUAUGCUUAUUCUUUGUUGUAGAUCACGUUAUGGCUUACAAUGCUAUCUUUGGUCACCCUAUCAUGCGAAUGGCCAAGAUGAUGAUUGUCACUUUCUAUAUGAUGAUUGUGUUGCCAAUCAUGAUUUCAUUUAUUUGUAUGAUAUGAAGAGCAAGGAGAUGAAGGAAUCCAAGAUGAAAUUGCAAUAUGCAACAAAGUUCAUACCCCUUAGAAGCAACCUUGUUAGUUGGAGAACUAAGAUGGAUUGAUUUAUCUGCAAAAAUAAGCAAAUUUUUCCCUCUAGAUCCUGCUUUGGGUUACUUUAACUUAGGCAAUUUGGUUGUUAAGUAUUCACGCACUUUAGCCCAAUUUGUAGUGAAAAUUUGGUAAAUGCUAACAUGAUUAAAAUAAAAUGCAUAACAGUUGAAUAAGAUAUUGCUUAAAAAAAACAUAUUUCGAAACCGUGAGAAGUCCAAUUUGAGUAUUUAACCCAAAAGAAAUACAAAUGUCGAUUACAUUAAUAAGAACUCAAGCAUUUUUUUUACACUGGAUCGGUGGUUGAACCGAUCUGAUCAUUGGUUCACUGAUUUGAUCGAUCCAAUCAGUCCGAUUAAAAAUUGUUAAAAAUUAAUAAAUCUUGAUCCAACCACUGGUUCAAUCGGUUUUUAGUCAAUUCAUACCGGGUCCCGAUCUAACUGGUUUAAAGUCACUUUUCGAACUGAUUCUCGACCCAAUCAAUCCAUCCAGUCAGUCCGAUCGUUGAAACAAACUCAAAUUUAGAAAUUUUACUUUUGAAGUUGAAACAAACUCAAAUUUAGAAAUGUCACUUUUGAAGGGGAAACUAUGAACAUCUCGGAGUAAAAAAAAAGUUGUGUCAAACCCAAUGAAGAAAUAGAAGUUCCAUCAAUGGGUCAAAUUCUUUUUUGUUGGGUGGUCAAAGGGGGUGAAAGAGAAGACCCAAAAUGAGAACCACAACGACCCAACUCAUCUCUACACUAGACUCUUAGGGUGGGUUUGGAUGGGCCAUUGGGUGCCGUGCGGUGCGUUUAGCUUACUUUUUGUCUCGCGCUACAGUAUCACUACAGUAUCUAAUCUCACCGCCACCGCUGUUUUUACACUAACUGCAGGUAAAUGCACCACCCAUCCAAACUCACCCUUAGUUUUUAUAUUAUUAAUCAAACUACUUGAGAUAAUUGAUUUUAUAUAAUUUAAUCUUAAUAUUACAUGCAUUCAACAUGAUUUUACUUGUUUAUUUUUUAAAAAUGAAUUAAAUAAUUUAUCUUUUUAUCUUAAAAAAAUAGUUUUUUUUUGUUUUGGUAUAAAUCUUAAUUUUAUAUUAUUAAAAUAUUAAUAAAUAUGUAACUCAAAAUUGAAUAAUUUAAAUCAUCGUGAAAGUGUAAUUUAUAUGGAUAUAAAAUGUAAUUUUAGCCUUAAUAAAAUAUUUUUCUAAUAUUUAAAAUAUAAGAAUAAAAUAUUGUUCUAAUAUCAAUUUAGUAACAUCAUGAACACCAAUAAAGGGUAUUUUUAUCGGUUCAAUUUUUUUCUCAGUUUUAUAUAUGCUCAUUUUUUAUGCUACAAAACUAAUUUCAUUUUGAUACUAAAAUUUAAAAUAUAUAAAAAUUUUGAUGACGUGACACUUAGAGAUUUUACCACAUCAUCAAUUGAAAAUUAAAAAAUUAUAUACAUUUUUAAUUGAUGAUGUGAUACAAUCUCAGAGUAGAGGUGCUCAUGGGUCGAGCCCAGAAAAAAAUUUUAGCUUGCAUCCUAGGCCCGGGCCCGGCCCGGCCCAGCCCAAAAUAUGGGCCUAAAAUUUUGUCCAGGCCCAGCCAGGGAAAAAAUUCCUAAGCCCGGCUCGGCCCGGCCCAUUUUUUAAUAAACACCAAAAAUUUAUUUUAAAAAUAAAAAAAGUAUUUUAAAAAUAAGUUAAAAUAAAAAAUAAAAAUAUUUAUUAUAUUCGGGCUGGGCCGGGCCAGGCCCGGGCCAAAAAGUGGUGCUUGAGGCUCGUCCCGUUUUCUAAACGGGCCUCAUUUUUUUGCCCAAACCUAUAUUUCGGGCCUAUAUUUUUACCCGAACCCUCCCAUAUUUCGGGCGGGCCGUCGAGCUUGGCCGGGCAGCCUGGCCCAUGAGCACCUCUAUCUCAGAGUGUCAUAAUCAAUGUUUAAUAACCGAACCGGUGGUUGAACAGGUUGAACCACCAUUUUCCGAUUCAACAAGUUUGAUUGGUUUGAAUGUUGGACCAAAAAUAAUUAAAAAAUAUUUUUUAUUUUAACUAUUGAUUUUUGUCCUUGUUUUCAAUUUUCACCAAUUUAAAACAGUUUUCAAGUUAAUUGGUUCAACCCUUUGUUCGGAUUAUUAUAUUGAUUAGUUCUUGGCAUGUUUGAUCCGUUCCUAUUCUAGUAACACUAUUCACAUCAUCAAGUCUUCAUAGAAUCCAAAUUCAAGGACCAAAAUGAAUCUAUUUACCAAAUUUAAAAAUCAAAGUAAACAAAAAAAAAACAGAAUUAGAUAGAUCAAAAUAAGACAAACUCUAUUUUAAAGUGACCUUAAAUGUAAUUUACCUUAUUAUUAUUUGUUAAUUUUAUUCAAUUAAUCAACCCUAACUAAAAUUAAAAUAUUGUUAAAAGAAAAUUAAUCCAUUUAUUAAAAAAUGAAAUUAAUUGAAUAAAGAAGAGACAAGUAGAGAAGAAAGAAGCAUCUUAUUGGAACUUCCCGACGACAUCAAGGUUGAAAUCCUUGCUAAAAUCCCAACAAAGUUCCUCUACAAGAUAUUCAGGUGUGUAUAUAAAUCAUGGUAUCGAUUGAUAAGUAGCAGCGAGUUCAUGAACAAGACUGCCAUUCAUCAUAACCCAGGAAUAUUCAUCCAAUCCGUCCGGAUCUUCCGUAGUACUACCAACACAAGUUUCUUGCAGAUGGAUGGUCUUAACUUCAACUUAACUAAUCUCGGCUCUUCAAUGGGAAUUAUUAGGUCCAGUUGCAAUAGUCUGGUUCUAGUAUACGAGCCAAUCUGUGUGUUAAGAACUUGUUGACAGGCCCUACUAGUUUAACUCUUCCAAACUGCCUUUCUGGUUGUACGCACAAGCAUGGAUAUCAUGGCCGAGCACCAGGGCGCAUCGUGCAUACUUAUUGUGGCUCAGCAUUAGGGUUCGACCCACUUACAAAGGUAUAUAAAGUGGUGCACAUUAAUAAUGAUGGAUAUGGAAUCGAAGUGUUCACCAUUGGUUCCUAUAAGACAUGGAGAAAGGUUCCACUUCCAUGGCCUGUUGAAAAACCACGUCGUGGAGAUUUUUGAAGAUAUGAAGUUCUUUUGGAGGGAUCCUGUAUCAAUAAAGGGUCAAGUAUUUCACUGGUUUGUUGAUUCAGAAAAGUAUAUAUUCUCCAUGGAUAUAAGCAAUGAAAAGGUGAGUAAAACCAAACUUCCAUACAUUGGGAAAACAAUAAUGAAGGAACAUUAUGAUUUAGUAGCCAUGGAUGAGAAGCUUGCUUUUGUGUAUAAAGGUUCCGAGUCCAAAAUCGAUGUAUGGGUUUUGAAUGAUUUUGGGAGACAGGUUUGGUCAAUGGAACAUUCCAUCGUUGCUAAUUGGGAGGCAGAAAAGAAGUUGCCCCAAUUUAUGAAACUAGUUGCAGUUGCUAGCUGGAGAAAUGGUGAGGUGAUAAUGUUCAAGGCCAUAGAGAACUUCGUUUGGGACCAUCAUGAUUUCAUUUAUUUGUAUGAUACGAAGAGCAAGGAGAUGAAGGAAUUCAAAAUGAAAUUGCAGUACGUAACAAAGUUCAUACCCCAUAGAAGCAGCCUUGUUAGUUGGAGGACUGAGAUGGAUUGAUUUAUCUGCAAAAAUAAGCAAGAUUUUCCCUCUAGAUCCUGUUUUGGGUUACUUUAACUUAGGCAAUUUGGUUGUUAAUUAUUCUUAUAAAUUUGUUUAUUAUGAUAUAUAGAUUUUCAGUUGUUUUUAUAAAUAACUUUUGGAAUUUAAAUUUGGUGAUUAGGUUUAAUUUAUCUUACAUUUUUUUACAUAUUUUAGCAUUUGAACUUGCUAACUGAUCCAUUUUGAUCCAAAACUUAAAAUAUAAAAAUUUUUUCAACCACCGGUCCGGUCCGGUUCAGUUAUUAUACACUAAAUAUGACAUUACAAUAUUCUACCACAUCACCACUUGAAAAUUAAAAAAAAAAGUUGAUGAUGUGGUAUAAUCUUAUAGUGUCAUAUUUAGUGUUUAAUAACUGAACCAAUGGUUGAACUGGUCAGACAACCAUUUCUCGAUUCAACAAAUUUGAUUGGUUUGAACAUUGGACCAAAAAUAAUUAAAAAAUCAUAAAAAUAUAAAGCAGUAAUUAAAAAAAGUACUUUUUGUCCUUGUUUUCGAAUUUCACCAAUUCAAAGCAGUUUUCGAGCUAAUUGAUUCAAUCCCUUUGUUUGGAUUAUUAUAUCGAUUAGUUCUCGACCUGUUCGAUCUGUUCCUGUUCUAGUAACACUAUUUACAUCAUCAAUUUUUUAUAGAAUUCAAGUUUGGGGACUAAAAUACAUCUAUUUGACAAGAUUAAGAAUUAAAGUGAAAAAAAAAUUUGUUGGGCUGAUGGGUUUGUUUUAAUUUAAUUUAAAAUUAAAUUACACAUAUAAUAAUUCCCAAGGUUUAUAUGGUAGAUCAAAUGAAAGGGUAAAUAGAAACCUCCACUAAAGAUGCACAAAGUGAAGCAAAAUGAGAGAAAAAGAAGUAACAAAAAUGAAGAAUGAAACCAGCGUAGUAAUAGCUAAUGCCAUAUUUAAGUUUCAAACAAGGCCCCCUCAAACUUAAAAAGAUAACAAUAAUCCAGACUAGCUAUUAGCACAGGCCACCUUAAACCUACUCCAGACUAGCUAGUAGGUGAGACUAUUGUUAGUGACCAAAUAAAUGGGCUCAAACCCAUACUUAAUAGCACAGGCCAACACCCUAAUAACACAAAUAUUAUCAACAAACUGAGCAUACCGGCUAUUAGCCCAAUGCAUAAUGGAACAGGCCCAAGAGCAUCACAUGGAAUCUUCAUCCCCACUAGCGUAGAUGCUUAAACACAUCACCCUCCUUGCUCCUCCAUGAAAUAACAAGACAAGCUUCUGCCAACUCAAAUCAUUUAGCAGAAUGAAACACGACUUAAUGCCCUUGAAGAUGCAGAGGGAUCCAGGUACAAGCCAGAGCAACCUCAAGCAAGCAUUAAAAAGAUUUAUAAAUACCAAUAUCACGACAUUGACCGGGUAUGGCCACAGACCAGAGUUCUCACCAUUUUACUAUUUUCUUCAAGCUUUAUUAACUUAAGCAUCAGAAGGUGCCUUGGAGUAUAGACUCAACUGACAGUUCAUCAACCAAUUUUAAGUCUUGAAUACUUUGACCUCCUAAUUAUUCAACCUUAAAAGUAUACAACGGACAGCAAUACAACAUUAGCCCACAAACUUAGAAUUUAUUAGUAUUUAGCACCAACUUUCCUGUACCGAAAGGAUAAUUUUUGUGCUGACUUGGUUGAUUCCGAAGAAAAAAAACAAAUCAGGGAAAAGGGACUUUUGCAUAUGGUUUUGCCCCGACCACCACGACCAAGGCCUUGAAAACGAAGCAUCCUUCUAAACUUUCAUACUACUCCCAUUUAAUUCAUAUAUUUUAAAAGUUAAAAUUUUAAUUAUCGUAUAUUUUUAAUUUAAAUAUUUUAGUCCAAUCAUCAACGUCGACAGUUUCCAUCUAUAUUUGUCAACUUAACAUUAGGGGAGAAGCCAAAACUUUUUUUUGGGGGAGGAAGGAUCGAAAUUAUGUUAUAUAUUUUAUGAGAGCUAAAAUGCAAUUUUACAAUCUUAAUACCUUAUACCUUUAUAAUUUUUAAAUGACUAAAUCAAAAGUUUAUUUUUUUAGGGGUAAAGUGUAAUUUUAUCUUUUAUUAAAUUAAANNNNNNNNNNNNNNNNNNNNNNNNNNNNNNNNNNNNNNNNNNNNNNNNNNNNNNNNNNNNNNNNNNNNNNNNNNNNNNNNNNNNNNNNNNNNNNNNNNNNNNNNNNNNNNNNNNNNNNNNNNNNNNNNNNNNNNNNNNNNNNNNNNNNNNNNNNNNNNNNNNNNNNNNNNNNNNNNNNNNNNNNNNNNNNNNNNNNNNNNNNNNNNNNNNNNNNNNNNNNNNNNNNNNNNNNNNNNNNNNNNNNNNNNNNNNNNNNNNNNNNNNNNNNNNNNNNNNNNNNNNNNNNNNNNNNNNNNNNNNNNNNNNNNNNNNNNNNNNNNNNNNNNNNNNNNNNNNNNNNNNNNNNNNNNNNNNNNNNNNNNNNNNNNNNNNNNNNNNNNNNNNNNNNNNNNNNNNNNNNNNNNNNNNNNNNNNNNNNNNNNNNNNNNNAUGUAUGAUUUGUUCGUGUAUUUUGUAAAAUUAUUAUUUAAAUAAAAAAUAUUAAUUAAAAACAUUUAAAAUAUAUAAAAAUUCUAAAUAAAAAAUAUAAAUUUAAUUUAAUUUGGACUGCCAUUUAGGACUGCUGUUAGGGAGGUAAUGAAACUUAACAGUAGAGUAACCACUUUGUAACAAAACAAUAAUAUAAAUGACUAAAACGUAAAAUUUCAAAUUAAUUGAUAUAUAAUGAAUCUCAGGCAUAAUCAUAGUUUUUGCAAGUGAUCAAGAUGAACAAUACUAUGAGUUGAGUGUUCUUUUUAUAGAUUUAAUACAUAAUUUUGUAUAUGAAUUUGAUACUUUUUAACGUAGUAUUUGUAUUGAUUUUUGUCGAAUAUAAUAUAUGUAUUUGACAAAAGUUAUACAUUUUCGUUCCUGUAAGUAACAAUAUUAAUUUUUUAGUGUUUAAUUCAGGUUUUAGAAUUGGUUUGAUGAAAGCUAAUAAUAUUAGAAAUUAACUUUGAUCAAAUCAAUCCUAAAAUUCAAAUAAAAUCACAGUUAUUGGGCCAUAUUUGAUGAAUGAAACGCAAAACUAAACUCAACGAAUUCAGAAUCAACAUUAAAUUUAUUCUAUAUUAACAAAAUCAUGAAAAAUUCAAAACCUAAUAGUAUUAGCAAUUCACUUUCAUUAAAUCAACCUUAAACUCGAAUUAGAUACUAAAAAGUUAACAUUGUUACAUUUGGGUACCAAAAUAUAUAACUUUUGUCAAAUACAAGUAUCAAACUAGACCAAAAAAUAGCACAAAUGUCAAAAUUUACUAUAUUAUUGUUAAAAAAUACAUAAAAAUCUCUAAAAUAUUAUCUUCUUGUAUAUGAUAUAACCAACAACACCAAAAGAGAGAAUGGGACGACAUUAGUGGGAGGAGUAACCUCGAACUCCAAAUAUAAACCGUAAAAUAGAUAUAAAAAUUAUCAGAAAGUUAUUAAUUCAAUUUAUUUUAUUUUAACAUAAAAUUUCUUACAUGGUCUCCUAAAAAUAAAGCUAGUUCUUGCUGCAUAACAUUUAUACUUAUCAUAAAGUCUUUAAUUGAGUUGAUAUCACAGGUUAACUAAUUACCAACUCAAUUAGGAAAAGACGAAAAUAUUCUCACUUAACAAAGUAAAUAAUAUUAUUUAACGAAUGUUUUUAUCAUAUAAAAAAAUGUUCACAAUAAAAUUUAAACCUAUAUCUUUUUAAUUUUUUAUAUUUAUAUUUUAAUUAUAUAGAUUUUUUAUAAAUAAUUUAUUAGAUAAUUUUAGAUUUUUUAUUUAAAUAACCCAAAUAAUUUAAUUAAGUACCAAAAUGACCUACAUUUUUAAUUAAACACCAAAAUGACCUGAAAUCUUCAAUAAAAGUUGGUGCAGCCAAAUUAUAUGGCGCCACCAACUUGUCGCGUCAGCAGGGAGCAUUAAAAAAUUAUUUUUUUGGUGGAGCCAUGUCAAAUGGCGCCACCUGUAUAUAUAUUAUGAAAAUACUGUAAGUUCUGAAAAAAUGGAGGACUUGAAAACAAUUUUCUAUUUUCUGGUGGAGCCAACUUAAAUGGCACCACUAGACCCUUCUUUUAUUUAUUUAUUUUUACUUUUUUAUUAACUUUUGUCUUUUUCUUAAAUUUUUUUUCUUUUUUUAAGUUUUAUAUUUUUUUCUUAUCUUAUUUUGUUUAUUUUAUUUAUUUAUUGUUGUUAAUUUUAAAAAAUUUGAAAUGUAUAUUUGAAAUUUUUUAUAAUAUAUAUUUUUUAAAAAUUUUAAAUAUUAUUUUUAAAUUAUUUUUUAAAUUUUGAAUAUUAUUUUGAAUAAAUAAAAUAAAUAAACAANNNNNNNNNNNNNNNNNNNNNNNNNNNNNNNNNNNNNNNNNNNNNNNNNNNNNNNNNNNNNNNNNNNNNNNNNNNNNNNNNNNNNNNNNNNNNNNNNNNNUAAAAAAUAAAAGAAGAGUGUCAGGUCUUGUCUGGUGGCGCCAUUUAAGUUGGCUCCGCCAGAAAAUAAAAAAUUGUUUUCAAGUCCCCUAUUUUUUCAGAACUUGUAAUAUUUUCAUAGUAUUUAUACAGGUGACGUCAUUUUACAUGGCUCCAUCAAAAAAUUAAUUUUUUAAUACUUCCUGCUAACGUGGCAAGUCUGUGGCGUCAUAUAAUUUAGCUCCACCAACUUUUAAUGUAAAUUUUAAAUCAUUUUGGUGUUUAAUUAAAAAGAUGAAUCAUUUUGAUACUUAAUUAAAUUAUUUGGGUUAUUUAAAUAAAAAAACCGAUAAUUUCACUCCUGAAAUGACAUAAAAGGUGGAAAAUGGACAAACUGUCAUAAUCAUAAAAGGUGGAAAAUGGGUAGAUAUUCCUUGAAGUACAGUUGAAAAGUAGAACCCACCAUUGGUAUAGUUAAGCCCUGCAUGUGAUGCUGUGGACCGUCAUCAUCAUGAAUUUGUCAAUGGUCUUAUAAUAUCCAAAUAAAUACCACUGGUUGAUAGAUUAGAGUGGAAUUUAGGAAUUAUGUGUGAACAUGGACUCAUACAAUCAAGCCAAGAACAUUUAAUGUAAAACGUGUAUUCACAUUCAUCCUUUAUUUUUAAUUCGGUUGACAUGGGUAUUGUUAUUUAUCAAUGUAGAAGGACCUGUGUUCAAGUGCACUGAAAUACAUCAUCCUCCUAUUUAUGGGUUGGGGUGGGGCUAUAGAUAGGGGUGAACAAAACUCGAUUCCAUCCGAAUUUCAAAUAAGUAAUUCGAGUUCGAAUCGAGUUGAAUUGAGAUCUAGGCAUUGUGUAAGAAAAAAAGAAACAGAUAUGAACAGAACCUAUGAGAUUGUUCAAAAAAAAAAUCUGAAUAUCAUAGUUUGUAACUUGAUCGUAAAAGUUGAACUACUUGAUUGAUUAAAUCGAUUAAUUUGAUGGUUCAAUUAUAUAUAUCGAAUAGAAAAAAAAAGAAUAAAAAAUUAAUUAAGGAAAAAAUUUGAGUUUUUAUUGAUAAUAUAUAUUUUAAUAAAAAAUUAAUUAAGGAAAAAAUUUGAGUUUUUAUUGAUAAUAUAUAUUUUUUAUUUUUAACAAAAAAAUAUUGUGUUUUUAUAGAAGUUUUUCAUUAAUUUUUGUUCAUUUUCAUCAUUGAUCUUUUGGAAAUAUAAUUUUUCCUUUUCUUAUUUUUCUUUUCGCGUAAUAUAACAAUUGUUUUUCCUAAACAUACUUUUUAAGUUAAUGUUUUUUUUUUAUAGAUUUAAUAUAUAAUUUGGUAUAUGAAUUUGAUAAUUUUUAACGUAGUAUUUGUAUUGGUUUUUGUCGAAUAUAAUAUAUGUAUUUGACAAAAGUUAUACAUUUUGGUACCUGUAAGUAACAAUGUUAAUUUUUUAGUGUUUAAUUCAGGUUUUAGAAUUGGUUUGAUGAAAAUUAAUAAUAUUAGAAAUUAACUUUGAUCAAAUCAAUCCUAAAAUUCAAAUAAAAUCACGGUUAUUGGGCCAUAUUUGAUGAAUGAAACGCAAAACUGAACUAAACGAAUUCACAAAUCAACAUUAAAUUUAUUCUAUAUUAACAAAAUCAUGAAAAAUUCAAAACCUAAUAGUAUUAGCAAUUCACUUUCAUUAAAUCAACCUUAAAACUCGAAUUAAGCACUAAAAAGUUAGCAUUGUUACUUAUAUUUUAUGUUAUUAGAUGAUGAUAUGAUUUUGUUGCUUAUAUGAAAUGGAAAUUUACUAUAUUAUUGUUAAAAAAAUACAUAAAAAUCUCUAAAAACAUUAUCUUCUUGUAUAUGAUAUAAUCAACAACACCAAAAGAGAGAAUGGAACGACAUUAGUGGGAGGAGUAAUCUCGAACUCCAAACAUAAACCGUAAAAUAGAUAUAAAAUUUCUUACAUGGUCUCUUAAAAAUAAAGCUAGUUCUUGUUGCAUAACAUUUAUACUUACUAUAAAGUCUUUAAUUGAGUUGAUAUCACAGGUUAACCAGUUACCAACUCAGUUCAGAAAAGACGAAAAUAUUCUCACUUGACAAAGUCAAUAAUGUUAUUUAACGAAAUAAAAUUUAAACCUAUAUCUUUUUAAUUUUUUAUAUUUAUAUUUUAAUUAUAUAAGUUUUUUAUAAAUAUAUUUAUUAGAUAAUUUUAUUCUUCUCCUGAAAUGACAUAAAAUGUGGAAAAUGGACCAACUUUCAUAAUCAUGAAUUCCUGUAUUCCUGGAAAUACAGCUGAAAAGUAGAACAUACCAUUGGUAUAGUUAAGCCCUGGGAUGCUAUGGACCGACUGUCAUAAUCAUGAAUUAGACAAAAGGUCUUAUAAUAUUCAAAUAAAUACUGCUGGUUGAUAAAUUAGAGUGGAAUUUAGGAAUUACGUGUGAACAUGGCCAAAAACAUUCAAGAAAACAUUGAUUUUUGAUCAUUUUCAUCAUUCAUCUUUUCGAAAUAUAAUUCGUUAAAAAAAUUUGUGCUAUGCUAUAAAAAUAUCGUCAGUAUUAGAGGAAAUCCGUGUUAAUGCAUUGAGCUACGCUUGAUGAAUUAAUAUUAAAUAAGAAAUUUCAUGUUAUCUGCCAUAUGUCAAUCAUAUGUUAGAUUUUUUUGCUACCUCAUAUAUAUAUAUAUAUAUAUAUAUUGGUGAAUGAAACAUCGUUAAAAAAAACUAUUCAAAGAUACAGCCAAAUCCCCCAUGGGGGUAUUACAAAAAAAUUGAGUACUACCAUUGUUACUAACAGGCUUCCUAGCCAAACAAUCGGCCUCUUUAUUAUAAACUCUAGAAACAUGUUGAAUCGAUUAUUAUGACAAAUUAGUCAAUUGUGAAUUAAUUCUUCUUACUGAAGCGGAAUUCGACAUCUUGUAGCACUCUCUUGUAUUGCUUGUAUUGCCUCUACACUAUCUAGAACGAUAAUGAUUCUGUUGAACACCCUCUCAAUAACAAUGACCAAACUUUCCAACAUGCCCCACAUGUUUUUAUAUUUUCUUUUCCUUUUAAUUGUCUUAAUCUUCCCAUUAAUCAGAGAUUCGCAUUUUCAUUGAAAAACAUCAACCUUUGUUAAAUCAUAAAUGUAGACAAAAAAGAAAAUAUUUGAAUAGAAAUUAUAUUGAACCUAUCGAUAUCUUUAUCCUAUCGAUCUAAUAUCUUCUAUAUAUUAAUGUAUAUUUAACUGUUGAAUAUAUUUUUACAUAAAAUAAAUAGUUAGAAACUUUUAAUUUACAACAUUCUAAGAUUUGUUUUAUUUUAUUUUUAUAAAUUACGAGAAGAGAGUAAAGUCUUAACAAUAAUAUAACUAGUUUAACUUGAACCCAUGCGACACCUGUUAAAAGAAACCUCAAAAAACAACUCCAACAUCAGACGAACCACACAACACUAUAAUCAAAACACAACAUCCCAAGUAAAUAACAUGUCUUACCACUCUAAAAACAAUCACCAUUUAGCAAUUAACCCUAAACAACAAAAGAAGGAACUGUUUCCGACAAAGACUAGGUUGCUUGAAUUGUCAAACAAGUUAAUAUUUUAUUUUUUUUAUUUUUUUUUUAAAUCUUUUUCCAGCUCUAAAUUGAUGUGAAACAAGAAGAAGACUUGGUUCAAGUCAAGCCAAAGCAUCAAAAAAAAAAACCCAUAACUCACGCUAGAUGGAGGGAUCCCGAGCGCAAUUUUCCCGUUCACCACAGAAACACGCGGAUCCUGUGGGCUGCGGGUCGGGUCACUAGUCGGCCUCCCAAAAACGACACUGUUUUGGCGCCUGGGGAGGCUUGCUGAAACGAUGACACCAUUUUUUUUUAAAACACCAUUUCUGUCAAAAAACCUAAAACGAACCUAAAACUCUCCUUUUCUCUCCUCUCCCCUCACUUUCUCUGAUCAACGGACCGCGCCGCCACCAUGGUCGACGGGCAGUGGCGAAAGACUGGGCUUUUACCCCUUUUUAAGUCCGAUGGACGGUACCGAUGAUGAGAGGCCGAAAGAAAAAGGAGAAAUCUAACCACCCCUUUUAGCUCGAUUCCGACAACGGCGAAGGGACCUCCAUCGACGGGGCCAUGCGGCGGUUCCAGGUAAGGUUUUCCUUUCCUUUUCUUUAUUUGAUUUUUAUUAUAAUUAUUUAAAAUGGAUUUGUAAAAAAGAAAAAAAUAAAAUAAAAUAAAUAAAUAAAUAAAUAAAAGAAAAACAAGAAAACGAAGAGGAAAUAGUAAAGGGUCAACCUUUUAAAAUUUCUAUUCGACUUUUGAUUUCUAAUGUGUGUAAAAAAAUACAACGGUGAGAUUCGGGCUUUUUGUAGCCGAAUCAAAAUGUUUGCUUCUUCUUUAUUGCCUGCUUCUACCAUUAUUGCCAGCGUGCCUCCCUUUUUGCUAUUGUAUUCAAUUUUUUUGCAGGUGUUAGGCGCGUGGAUGACCAGUGAUAGGCGAACCUCAGGCGGUGGCGGCGUGCGGCGCAGAUGGGGCGGUGACAGCAGCAAGGCGUGCGGCGCUGGAGGCUUAGGGUUUCCCUUCUUGGCUGAAAAUUUUUUAAUUUGUGGGCUACGGUUAGAUCUGACUUGGGCUAGACUUUGGGUUUGAUUGGGAUUAAUUUGGGUAGUGGGUUUAUUUUUGUAAAAUGGACUAUAAUAUAUAUAUUUUUAAUUUGGUUUAGUUUAUUCAAUGCGGCCCGGACAAAAAUGGACUAUUACACUUAGAAUUUAUUAGUAUUUAGCACCAACUUUCCUGUACCGAAAGGAGAAUUUUUGUGCUGACUUGAAUAUUUUAAAUGGUCAAGUUUACAAUGACUUUAUUGAGAAACAAAUUGGUUGAAGCAGGGAAGAGGGACUUUUGCAUGUGGUUUUGCCCCGACCACCACGACCAAGGCCUUGAAAACCAAGUAUCCUUCUAAACCUUCAUACUACUCCGAUUUAAAAUGUGUAUAACAUUUGUUUUAUAUAUGUGCAUAUUAGUUUUCUAUCCCAUGCGAUGUAUGAUUUGUUCGUGUAUUUUAUAAAAUUAUUAUUUAAAUAAAAAUAUUAAUUAAAACUAUUAAUAAAAAAUAUUUAAAGAAUUUACCUAAUCUUUUGAAAUAUAAUAUAUUUAUAAUAUUAUAAAUAUAAUUUAAUUUGGACUGCCAUGUAGGAGUGCUGUUAGGGAGGUAAUGAAACUUAACGGUAGUGUAACCACUUUGUAACAAAACAAUAAUAUAAAUGACUAAAACGUAACAUUUCAAAUUAAUUGAUUUAUAAUGAAUCUCAGGCAUAAUCAUAGUUUUUGCAAGUGAUCAAGAUGAACAAUACUCUGAGUUGAGUGGUUGUUAUUUGUUCAAUUUUUUUUUCCUAAACAUACUUUUUAAGUUAAUGUUUUUUUUUAUAGAUUUAGUAUAUAAUUUGGUAUAUGAAUUUGAUACUUUUUAACGUGGUAUUUGUAUUGUUUUUUGUCGAAUAUAAUAUAUGUAUUUGACAAAAGUUAUACAUUUUGGUACCUGUAAGUAACAAUGUUAAUUUUUUAGUGUUUAAUUCAGGUUUUAGAAUUGGUUUGAUGAAAAUUCAUAAUGAGCUAAUAAUAUUAGAAAUUAACUUUUAUCAAAUCAAUCCUAAAAUUCAUAUAAAAUCACAGUUAUUGGGCCAUAUUUGAUGAAUGGAACGCAAAACUGAACUCAACGAAUUCAGAAUCAACAUUAAAUUUAUUCUAUAUUAACAAAAUCAUGAAAAAUUCAAAACCUAAUUGUAUUAGCAAUUCACUUUCAUUAAAUCAACCUUAAACUCGAAUUAAAUACUAAAAAGUUAACAUUGUUACAUUUGGGUACCAAAAUAUAUAACUUUUAUCAAAUACAAGUAUCAAACUAGACCAAAAAAUAGCACAAAUGUCAAAAUUUACUAUAUUAUUGUUAAAAAAUACAUAAAAAUCUCUAAAAAUGUUAUAUUCUUGUAUAUGAUAUAACCAACAACACCAAAAGAGAGAAUGAGACAACAUUAGUGGGAGGAGUAACCUCGAACUCCAAAUAUAAACUGUAAAAUAGAUAUAAAAAUUAUCAAAAAGUUAUUAAUUCAAUUUAUUUUAUUUUAACAUAAAAUUUCUUACAUGGUCUCCUAAAAAUAAAGCUAGUUCUUGUUGCGUAACAUUUAUACUUAUUAUAAAGUCUUUAAUUGAGUUGAUAUCACAGAUUAACCCGUUACCAAUUCAGUUAGAAAAAGACGAAAAUAUUCUCACUUAACAAAAUAAAUAAUAUUAUUUAAUGAAUAUUUUUAUCAUAUAAAAAAUGUUCACAAUAAAAUUUAAACAUAUAUCUUUUUAAUUUUUUUAUACUUAUAUUUUAAUUAUAUAAAUAUUUUGUAAAUAUAUUUAUUAGGUAAUUUUAUUCUCCUCCUGAAAUGACAUAAAAGGUGGAAAAUGGACCAACUGUCAUAAUCAUAAAAGGUGGAAAAUGGGUGGAUAUUCCUUGAAAUAGAGCUGAACAGUAGAACACACCAUUGGUAUAGAUAAGCCCUGUGAUGCUAUGGACCAACUGUCAUAAUCAUGGAUUAGUCAAAGAUCUUAGAGUAAGUAUAAAUGUAAAAAGUGUAUUCACAUUCAUCCUUCAUUUAAAAAAAACUCUCAACCAUCGAUUGAGUCUCAAUUCAGUUAGCAUGAGUAUUGUCAUCAAUGUAGAAGGACCUGUAUUCGAGUGCACUGAAGUAUAUCAUCCUCCUAUUUAUGGGUUGGGGUGGGGCUAUGGGUAGGGAUGAGCAAAACUCGAAUCCAUCCAAAUUUCGAGUUAACCGAAUUGAGUUAUUCGAAUUUCAAAUAAGUAAUUCAAGUUCGAAUCGAGUUGAACUGAGAUCUAGGCAAUAUUGUGUAAAAAAAAGAAACCGAUAUGAGCAGAACCUAUGAGAUUGUUCAAAAAAAUUUCUGAAUAUCAUAGUUUGUAACUUGAUUGUAAAAGUUGAACUACUUGAUUGAUUAAAUCGAUUAAUUUGAUGGUUCAUAUUGUGUUUAUAUAGAAAUUUUUCAUUAAUUUUUGUUUAUUUUCAUCAUUGAUAUUUUGGAAAUAUAAUUUUUCCUUUUCUUAUUUUUCUUUUGGCGUAAUAUAACAUUUGGUAUCUAAACUUGAUUUUUUUUCAAAUUUGAUACCUAACUUUUUUUUUGUCCAAUUUGGUAUCUAAACUUGAAUUUUUUUUUUUCUAAUUUGGCACCUAAGCUUUUUUUAGGUUUAUUUUGGUACUCAAACUUGUUAAAUGAUAUACAAAUUACCCUAGAACACUAACAAUGUUAAAUUUGCACUAUGCUAUAAAAAUAUCGUCAGUAUUAGAUGAAAUCCGUAUUUAAAAAACCAUGCAUUGAGCUACACUUGAUGAAUUAAUAUUAAAUAAGAAAUUUCAUGUCAUUUGCCACAUGUCAAUCAUAUAUUAUAAACUCUAGAAACAUGUUGAAUCGAUCAUUGUCCAAUUGUGAAUUAAUUCUUCUUACUGAAGCGGAAUUCGACACCUUCGUAGCACUCUCUUAUACAGCUUGAACACCCUCUCAAUAACAAUGACCAAACUUUCCAAGAUGCCCUACAUGUUUUUAUACUUUCUUUUCCUUUGAAUUGUCUUAAUCUUCCCAUUAAUUAGAGAUUCGCAUUUUCACCAAAAACAUCAAACUUUGUUCAAUCAUAAAUGCAUACAAAAAAGAAAAUAUUUGAACGGAAAAUAUUGAACCUAUCGAUAUCGUUAUCCUAUCGAUCUCAUACAUUCUAUAUAUUAAUGUAUAUUUAACUUUGAAUAUAUUUUUACAUAAAAUAUAUAGUUAGAAACUUUUAAUUUACAACAUUCUAAGUUUUUUUUUUUUGUGAAUUACGAGAGGAGAGUAAAGUCCUAACAGCAACAUGACAAGUACGACUUGAACCCAUGCGCCACGUGAAAAAGAAACCUCAAAAAGCAAAAGAUAUUAGAACCUCAAAAAUAGAUUACAACAUUAACAAAAUCAAAGACAAAAGAUAUUAGAACCUCAAAAAACACAUCCAACAUCAGAUGAACCAAACAACACUAUAAUCAAAACACCACAUCCCAAGUAAAUAACAUGUCUUACCACUCUAAAACCAAUCACCAAUUAGCAAUUAACCCUAAACAACAAAAGAAGGAACUGUUUCCGACAAAGACUAGGACGUUGAAUUGUCAAACAAGUUAAUAUUUUUUUUUAUUUUAAAAAAAAAAUAUUUUUCCACCUCUAAAUUGAUGUGAAACAAGAAGAAGACAUGGUUCAAGUCAAGCCAAAACAUUAAAGAAAAGUCCUAUUACUCACACUAGAUUGACUCAAAUGUAAAGGCCAAAUAUAUGGCUUAUAAUUUUUCUAUUACAAAAUUGAAUCGUGAACAGGAAGUGCAACUAGCCUUAUCCGGUUCGGUUUUUAAACAUAGUUUCUCACUACUUUGCCUAAUAAAUAAGCAGAUUUAGUGUCUCUUUUUUUUAUUCAUUCAAAGUCAUACAUAUUUCAUAGAAUUUCUUCAUUGGAAAGCUGCUUCUUAGAUACUUAUAUAUAAUCAGAUAUGAAGGUGAGCUUUUCUUUAUUUUUCUCCCAUAACUCAAUACUAUAUCUAUAUAUAUACAUAUAAUAUAAAAUUGUUGGAACUGAUAUAUAUAUAUAUGUUUUAUAUGUAAUUAAUAAUGCAGCAAAAGAUGGUUCUGAAGGUGCAAAUGAACUGUGAGAAAUGUCGAACACAGGCUUUGAGGAUUGCUGCUGCUUCACAAGGUUGGCAAUGACGUCUAAAUUCUGACUUCAUUUUAUGCUUAUAUAUAAAUGGGUUAAUCCCCCCAAAGUCCCCAAACUAUAUAUUAAAUUUUAAAUUAGUCCCUAAACUUCAACACGUUAUCGUUCCAAUCAAGUCUUUCAGUCAAUCUAGUAGGUAACUUUGGCGUUAAAUAUCAUCUUUGAUCAAAUUAUGUGGUUAAAACUGUUUAUUAAUGCAUGUUUUUUUUUUUUUUGAGAAAAAGGAAGCAUGUGAGCUGCAAUAUAACACUUAACGCCAAAGUUGAUGAAUAAGUUGAUAGAAGGACUUGAUUGGAACGAUAUUAUAAUUUGAAGAUUCAGUUGGGACAUUUUGAAGUUCAGGAUCAAUUAGAAUUGGUAAAAUGUAAAAGUAAGCCCUUAGUGUUUACAUCUUUAGUCAAUUUGACCCUUUUUUUUUUAGUUAAAUUUGGUCCUCAACCUUUUAAAAUAAGUUAAAUUCGACCAUCAACAGUUUCAAAAACAAUCAAAUUGUUGUUGUUGUUUUUAACUUAAAUACUAAGUAAAACGUUAAGUCUUUAAAUAUGGAAGCUCACAUGGCAAUUCACGUGUAUUUCAAGCUUUUUCUUUUAUGAUUUUUUUUGAAUUUUUAUAUUUUGAAUAUUUGUAUAAUUUUAAAAUUAUUUAUAGAAGUGGCAUAUAAGACAGAUAGUGUCAUGGCAACAUGAAGUAAAUGUAGACAGCCAUGUAAUUUGUCAUGCUAACAUCGUUAAAAAUAAAUAAUGUUAUAAUCAACAUUUUCAUUAAAAAAAAAGCGAUUGACUGUUUUUGAAAAGUUAAUGGCCAAUUUUAGCCAAAAAAAGAAGAAGGUUAAAUUGACAAAAGAUAUAAAUGUUGGAAGCUAAAUUUACCAUUAAAACUUGACCCAACUUCUAAUCUGGGGCAAUUCAAAGGCAGGUAGAGGCCUUUGCCCUUUGAAUAAAAUGGUGGGAUUUUGUUUUUAGUCCCUUUAUAAAUUUACUAAUUCAAAUUAUGCCAUUUUAGUGUACAAUUUUAUACUUCAACCCCAACAAACAUGGAAUUUUGGUUUUGAGGAUGAACAGGUGUGACUAGCAUGGCAAUACAAGGGCAAGAAAAAGAUGAACUAAUGGUAGCUGGAAACGGAGUGGACUCAGUUAAGUUGACUCGUUGUUUAAGAAAGAAGCUUCACCAUGCUACCAUAUUGAUCGUAGAAGAAAUAAAAGAGAAGAAGAAAGAAGAGAAGAAAGAUGAUGAAAAAUAUACCUCGCCUUAUUAUGUAUGUUAUCCCCAUAUCCCAUGCCUCCACAAAUUAUGGUUCAAGAUCCAUGCCAAUACCAAGCAUGUUCCAUCAUGUGAUGCAUCACUUAUCCAUCAAGUUUAUGUUACUCCAUUCCCGACCUACACAAGAUUAUACUCAGGGUGUAAAAUGGAUGAAAAAACCUCAAGAUAUAAUGAAAGGAGGAUGCAAAUAUGUAUUUGAUAUGAUUAUAAAUUAGAAUAAAGGUCGAUCGAGUCUUAGCUCUAGUAACACCGGUAUUAUUGUCAUAGAAGAAAGGCUUUAGGGACUUGCUUUUAUAUAUAGUACAAUUAAUAUUUUUGUAUGACAAGUACAAUUAAAUUGAUAAUAUCAACGAUUGGAUUAUUAAAAUAUUAAUCGUAAACUAAAGUAAUUGAAUUCUUGGUUGGUAUUUUACCGAUUUUGGUUGGUUCGGAAAAUUUUCAAUUACUGAAUUCUUGGUUCAACUUAUUCAACAAAUUAGUCCGGUCUAGUUUUUAAGACCAUAUUUUUUCCAUGCACAUUUAAACAUAGGUAAUGGGAUAUUUGACUUUUCAAAGAUUUUUAAACACAUAGAAAAAUCUCUUCUUUUUUUUUUUUUGCCGAAGCCCUCCCACCUUUCAGACGGAGGCUUGACCCAUUAUCAGGUCUAAUUAAAAGGUUGAAAAGUUGAAAAAUAAUAAUAAUAAUUUGAGUGGAAGAAGGAAGAAAAAUUAAAAAAAGAAUGAUAUUUUUCAAGGUAUAUUAGUUAUUUUACCAUUUUUUAAAUUUUAAAUUAGAAAAAUAAAUAAUAAAUAAGAUAUUUUGAUUGGAUUAAUAGUAUUUCUUAGAUAAAAGUUUCAAUGGUUAAAUCCUAGCCAUUGAUUAAAUGAUAAAAUGAAUAAAUAAAUAAAUAAACAACUAGAAGAGAGAAGAGAGAUCAUUCUUUUCUCUAUAAGGACUAAUUUGUAAAAUUUUAGAUUCUAAAGAUUGAGUAGCGAAAUCUGAAAAAUUGAAUUAGCUCUAAAUUAUAUGAUUAUGAAAGAAAAUAGUAAAGUUUGAACCUAUAGGGAUUAAAUUGUAAAGAUUUCAAAACAUGAGUUUAGAACUAAUUUAUAUGGUUUUAGAGUUUACAAUUCUGAAAGUAGAAUAUGAAAGUUUAAUGGUUCAAAAAUCAGGGACUAAUUUGUGAAAAAUUUGAUAAGAUUUUAACUGCAGGGAUUAAAUUAUAAAAUUUGGAAAUUUUGAAAAAAAGAAGAAAAAAGACUAUUUUGCAAAAUUGUACAAACUGGGACUUAAGACUAAACUGAAAAUAAAAAUAAGAAAAUAUGAUUUCCAGGGACUGAAUUGUAAAAUAGUGUAAAUUUGGGGCUACGGGGACUAAAUCAUAAAUCAUAAAUUCGCCUGAAAAUACUCUGAAAAUAGGAUUUAAGAUUCUCUAAUUAAAAUUUUAAUAAUAUAAAAUUUUAGAAAGAAAUUUAAUAUCAUAUGGAAUCCAAAUAAUGUCAGAAAAGUAAAUAAAAGUUAAGGAUUGAAAUUGAAAAUUUUAAUGUGAGAUUCAUUGUUCGUAUCUGUUAAUGAAUCGGAGUAAAAGAUGUUACAAAAACACUAUUGCAAGUUGCAUGAAUGAGAUGAAAAACAUACAAAGCCAAGGUAAAAAUACAAAAGAUCUUUGUGCUGUAGCAAUUCUGUUUGAUAAUUAAAGGUGUUUAUGGGUCGGUUCGGGCUGGGUCUAAGCAUGAUAUUAAUAUAUUUUAUGCUUAUUCAUGUUUGGUCCGGCCUGAAAUCUGAGACUAAAAUUUUACUAAAACCUGCUCAUAUUUGCAAAAGGCUAACUGAAGCCCAUUUUAAGCCUGGCCAUAUUGUUUUUGAAAUAUUUAUUUUAUUUAUUUAUUAUUUUUACCUAAACUCUUUCAAAAUUCGAACAAGUCUUCAAGUCUGGAUGGGUAACUUGACCUAUGAAUUGGUCCAUCAAUAAUAGCUUAAUAUUUAUUAUAAUAAAAUAUAAUAAAAUGUAUACAUUCACUCAUUGUGCAGAGCUUACAAGUAAAUUUCAUUGUCCAAAUGGAUUUGGGCCUUAUUUGGGCCAAACUUUUUUUCAAAAAAUAAUAAAACUAAAGGACAGUAAUAAAUAAAUAAAUAAAAUUAUAUAAUGUUAAUUCAGCCAUUUGAAAAAAAAUUAGUAUAAUGAUAAUUAAGAAAUAGUAACAUAAAGGGCUUUAAAAAAUUAAUGGUUUAUUUUACAUCAAUAAAAAUAUUAUCGAAGUUUCUAUACUAGAAAUCGGAUUAUAUUUUAUUUUUUUAUUCAAGAAAUGGAUAAAUUAUUCAUUGUAUGUUAUAUUAAAGAGUAAAUUGAUUUUUUUGUUAAAAAUUCUAUCCAUCUUUACUGUUAAAUACUGAUAUGGUUGAUGGAGCAACCAGACAGUAACACUUAGUGUGCCAAGUGUUUAGGGACAAGCCAAAAUUUUACAUUAAGGGAUCAUAGUUGAAUUAUAAAAUUUUAUCAUUAUACUAAGAAAUUUUCUAAAUUUUAAAGGGUCUAAAUAAAAAUUUUACCAUUUAGAGAGACCAAGGCCAUUGCUUUCGCCAUGGAAGGACAAAUUCAAGCAAAAUGGAUGAAAUUUUUGACGUGGAGAGACUAAUUUAAGCAGUCAGAUAAUAAUACGUCAUCACUUAAAAGUAGAAAUAAAUAAAAAUUUUAAUAAAUAAACUAAUUUACUCUUUAAUUUAAUGUAUAUAAUAUAAUUUAUAAAUUUAUAAAUAUAAUAUAAUAUAAUUUAAUAUAGAAGUAUCGGUCAUCCUCUUAGCUCUUACCUCUUACAUCGUAUGUGUUAGAAUCUGAUGCAAAGAUGCCCCAUGUGAUGGUAAUGGUUCCCUCGGGGUCCAAAGAGUCAUGCCCAUCUGCAAAAACAAGAAAAAGAUAUCUGACCCAUUAAAAAAUUGACACCCAAAACAUGAAAUAGACAUGGAAGCUAUGCAUGACACUAACAACAAUGGCAAGUUCAAAGCCAAAUGGUUCAAAUCCAUUACAUUUCUUCUUUUUCAUAUCAAUCUUUCAAUUAUAGGGAUUUUUUAAUAAUUUUAUUGUAAUUUUUGAUCAUAUCUGUUAUUUUUUACACAAUAUUUAGAAUUAUCCCAAGCUCCUCUCCAACCCAUAAAUAGGAGGAUAAUACGUUUCAGUGUACUCAAAUCCACGUCCUCUUACAUUGAUAACAAUACUCAUACCAAUCGAGCUAAAACUCAAUCGACAAUUAUAGGAUUCUUAAAUCUUAACCAAAAUCGCGAAAAAGAAACAAUGUAGUUUCUAUAUUUGGUUCAAAGAAAGAAUCUCAGCUAAUCCAACCCACUUAAAAAAGAUUAAACUAGUAAGCCCAAAGUUGUAAUUAAUUGCAUUAGGGUUUUCUUAUGAUAAACUAGUAAGUGUAUGUGUUAGUCAUUCACUUUAAAAAGUUACAAAAUAGAUAUUGAAGUUAUUGAAUUAUUCGAAAAUUUUUAUCUAAGUCAUUGCGCAGUUUUUUUUAAGUCCGGCUAGUGAGCUCCAAGUGACGAUUCGACGAUCAGUAUGAUGGAUUAGUUCCCAUUGACGAGUAGAAGAACAUACCUUAGAUCCAAAUUGAUAUAAUGAUCAAUGUCGAAGAUUAGAGAAAAAAGUUGUUUAGAUUUUAGUUCGCAGAUUCUUGAUGUUUAAAAUUGUUUCAUGAAGAAAAAAAAACUGAAUUGUAAAAGAGAAAUGAAAAAAAAAACUUUUAAUUGAUGCAGGCGAUAGAGAAGGCUGUACAACAGCAAAUUUAACAAUCAGUAACUUAAAUAAAAUUUUUUGAAUAAUUAAAUGACUAAAAUGUAAAUUUAUUAACAAUUUAGUGACAUUCGUAUAAUUUAACUUUUUUUUUCUUUUUCAAUAAGAGGAGGUGGUUGUGUUGUUGAAAUUUGAAUAUUGAAUUUAAUUUCCAUUGAUACUUUAAAUAAACUAGACUUUCUGUCACUCAACCAAUUAGUAUUUAACUAAUUGUUUAAAAAAUCAUUUACGAUUUAAUAAAGUUAAUUAUAUAAAAAAAAUUAUGGUUUUGUAAAUAAAAUCUUUUGUUUAAAAUUAGACUGUAAUUGAAGAAAUUUCUAGAAAUUUUUAAUACUGUAAAUAUUAACUCUGUUACAAUUUAAACUUAUUUGAUUCUUUUUUAUAAUAUAGAGACUAAAUUGAUCUAUUUAAUAAUAGAACUACUUUGACCCAAUUCUUAUAAUGCAGGAACAUCAGAUUCAAACCAAUCGGUUCAGGUAAACUGCCAUCAUUCUAAGUAUUACAAAACUUUCUAAAUCUUUAUGUAGAAUCCAAAGAAUUACAUCUGGUAGUUCUAGGAAAAUACAAAUACCCAAUUUAAAGUUAAAAGUCAUAAUCAUCAUUCGAUCCGCUAAUCGAUUCCCUUCACGAAAUAUAUACUUGAACUCAAUUUUCCAAUCAUAACUUUAACAUACUUAAUGUUCCACUUCUAACAUCUUAAGACCCUUGUCUUCAACGUUUUUGGUAAGGAAAAAUGUGACCACCAAAGAAGAUAGAUGAAAAGUAUUGCAUGAUUCAUUUGAUGGAUUAUGACAUGAAUUUAGCUAUAAAAAAAAGCACUUUUUGUCAACAAGAAAAACACACUAAUACGUCAUUAAGCUAAAAUUAAGCAUCCAAGUGUCACAGUUGACCAUCUAAUUUAGAACACACCCACCCUUCCUAACUUUGAAACACAAGUUGAAGAUAAAGCAAAAUUAUGAAACCCCAUACCCCAUACCCAUUUGUCUUUUCUUUGUGUGUGUGUGUCUUGUGUUUUUUUUUUUUCUAAAUGUAAUGAAAUGUCAUUUUCACUUACUAUUGGCUUGCUGUUAGGUGAUGAUAAUAUAUGAUCCAAAGAGUAUGGGUUUUUCUUUUCCUUUUUUGUCCUUUUUUUAAAAAUUAUAAUUUUCUAGGAGUUUUUAUUUUAGGAUAAAUUAUUAAAAUAGUCACUUUUAUUUACCUCAGGUUACAUUUUAGUUACUUAUGUUUCAAAUGUUAUGUUUUAGUCACUUACGUUAUUGCAUUGUAACAUUUCAGUCACUGAGCCGUUAAUUGUCAUUAACAGUGUAACGUGACGUGGCACGUUAAAUCAUUAUUUCAAACAAAAAUUUUAGGUUAAUUUGUACAAUCAGUCCCCUUAUUUUUUUUCGUUUUGAGCAAUUUUAUUUUUUUUCUUUUGUGUUUUUUGAACUUUUCUUUUUCCUUUUCCUUUCUCUUCUGCUUCUCCCUCUGUUUUCCUCCCUUCUCCAUUUAUUUUAACAUGGUUUUUCUAUAUUUUCCAUUUGUUAAAACUAGUCCCUAUACUUUUAUUUUUUUUGAACAAUUUAAUUUUUUUUGAGUGAGGUGAGCUUGUGGGCUAGUUUUAACAAAUAGAAAACAUAAAAAACUAUGUUAAACGAAAUAAAUAAAGGAGGAAAAAAAAGGGAGAAACAGAAGAGAAUGGAAAAAAGUUAAAAAAAUAUAAAAGAAAAAUAAUUAAAUGGCUCACAAAAUGAAAAAAUAUAGGGACCAAUUCAAGAACUUAACCUAAAAUUUUCGUUUGAAAUGAUGAUUUAACGUGCCACGUCAGCUUACUAUUACACCGUUAACAGCGAUUAACGGCUCAGUAACUAAAAUGUUACAACAUAAUAACAUAAGUGACUAAAACGUUACGUUUCAAACUUAAGUGACUAAAAUGUAACUUGAGGCAAACAAAAGUGACUAUUUAGGUAGUUUACCCCUUUAUGUUAUCAUGUAAAGCUUAUUUCAAUCUCUCUAUUAAAAGUUGCUUUAAAUUAGCUUUUGCACAUUAAAAUUUUAUUCAAAUCAUGACACCGUUACAAUUUUACGUCAAACUAUUGAUAAUUUGGACAAAAAAAUCAAACCCAACUGAUUUACCCAUGACCCAACCCGAGCCAUAAAAAAACAUAAAUACAUGGAUUCUUUUCGGGAUGGUUGGGUUAAGUUAUAAGUAAAUCAGUUGGGUAUGACAUAUUUUGUCAAAAUUAUCAGUAACUUUACAGUAAUUAUAAUGGUGUCAUGAUUUGAAUGAAAUUUUAAUGUACAAGGUCUAAUUUGAAGAUUUUUUAGUAGGAUUAAAAUGAAAUUUACAUAAUAGUAUAGGACCUCGUAGUAGAAUUUGACCUGUAAAAAAUAGAUAUUUAGGGAAUUAUGAGUUUAAUAUAUGGAAAAUUAUAAGCUUUAAGACAAAAGCUUAGGUAGUACCAAUUAAUGCACUAAAGCAUGCUUGGCCAUAUUUAAGCAAUACAAGUGUGUGCACAUAUAUAUCAACCAAUCUUCAUCAUUGAAACUUUGAUGACUUUUCUUUUUCUUUUGUUAAUUUUAGUACUUCGGAAUUUUACCUAAUUAGUGCCCCCACUAUAUCUGCUAGUCAAAGCAAUGUUUUGAAGAUGUUAAUUGUUGUUAUCUUUGCCAAAAGUUGUGGUUCUAGUCUUUGUACUUUAAUUUGAUUAGUUUUAAUCUUUAUACAUUUCGAAUCGGUCAAUAUUCUCCAAUUACUAGUCUUGUACGAUAUGCAUAGUCGUAGAUUUAGUCCAUAUUCUCCAAUUGGAUCAUUAUAAGUCCCUGUACUUUUUCGAAUUUUGAGAUUUCAGCCUUGACGCAAAUGACAUGCGUUAAUCCAUUAACCGCAUUUUUAGUGAGUAAUAUGUGGAAAUAGCAAGCUGACAUAGCAUCACACAUAUAAUAAUACAUUUUUCGUAUCGUAUUUUGGAAAUAGUAUAGCUUAACUUGAUGAAUUUAACAGUUAUUAUUUGGUGAUGACUGAAAUUUUAAAACAAAAAGUAAAAAAAAACUAAAAUUAAUCAAAUUAAAGUAUAAAAAUUAAAUCUUCAACCUUCACAAAAUACGAAGAUUAAUAGUAAAAUUUAAUUAAAAAUCAUGAUAAUGAAAGUGAAAUUGAAACAUCCUAGUGCACACCUAGUGCCAUCAUCAAACUUGAAACACAAUAUAUAUAUAUAUUAUAGAUAGGAUAGAGGAAAAGUGUAUGGGUGUGAUCAUUUGAGAUUUAUUUGUCAAGAUUUCUUGUAAGAUCGGGUAUAUACACAAUGAUUGCUAAGAAAUAAAAUUGAAAUUCAAAUAAAAUUGAAAUUCGAUUUUUUUUAUAAUUUUAUUAUGUUACACAAUAUUUAGAAUUACAUAUAGUCCCUCCUCAAUUCAUAAAUAGGAGGAUAAUACGCUUUAAUAAACUCGAAUUCAGGUCCUCUUGUAUUGACAACAAUAUUCAGAAAUAUGAAAUUUAGUUAUGGUAUUAGAAUUUCAACACUUGUAAGAUAAGAUAUGGGAAAAGGGGAAAAGAAAAGAAAAAGGUCCUCCCAUCCUUUUUUGUCUAAUUCUCCCCAUUGGUCCCUAUACUUUAGCCAAAUUCAAAUUUUGUCGUUGCACUUUAAUUGUUAGACAUUGAAUCCUUGUAUUAUUUCGAUUUGAAAAUCAUGUUGCAAUUUUUAAUGGUGAAUGUACCUAGCAGGUCCUAUUAUUUCUAGCAUUAAAUGGAUUGAUUUAACAUUUACUAUUUUAAAAAUGACAUGAAAAGUAUUUUCUUCAUUUGCAGUUUAACCCCCAACAGAAUAUUUUGAAAGCUUUUUAUGGUUCUAUAAAUGAAAUAUUUUGCUGGGAGUUGAGUUGCAAAUAAAAAAAUUAAUAUUUUAAUUUUAUUUGAUUUCUUUUACUAAUAAAGGGACUAAAUUGAUCAAUCCCCUAUAAUUGAGGGACUUCGCAGGGACCUUCACAAAUUUUUAAUGGUGUCAAUUUAUCCUCUCAAAGAAACUGAAAUGUCAAGGUGAAAUAUGACGUUAUGAUGAGUUGUAUUAAUUUUUCCAUGUGGCGUUGAAUGAUAGAUCCAUUUGUCCACUUACGACAUUUCAUUAAUUAAUAUUAAUUAAUAAAAAAUUACACAAUUUGAACCUCAUGCGUUGGCCUGAUAGUUAAAGUGUUCACGCGCCCCUGUUAGGGUUUUACCCUUCUCCUGUAAUUUACCAAAAAAAUUUAUACAAUUAAUUAUUUUCCUCAUAUUUCAAAUUUUAAUAUUUAUAAAUUAAAGUAUAAGGACUAAAUUUUAAAUUUAGUUAAAUUAGAAGAACCAAUAACACAAAUAAGAUACACAUUUUUUUUCUAGUCUCUCCAAUCAAAAAUGAAAUAUUGUGAAUUACACCAACACAAACAUUGAUUUAAGUGUAAACAAAGGAAUCAAAUAUUUUCAAUUAAAUAAUUUAGUCCCUUAAUAUAUAGUUUAAUCAAUUUAGUCCCUCCAUUGCUUAAUCUUUAACAAAAGUUGACAUUUCAUCUACGCUUUAAAAAAAAUUACUUUACUUGUCAUCCCCCUCCACCUUAUUUUGGAUUUAAUCCAUUAAAAUUGUAAAGAAAUUUGUAGCAUUCAAAAUUGUUUCAUGAAAAAGAAUUAAACUGUAGAAGAAAAGAGGAAUGAAAGCUUUCGAUUGAAGCAUGCGUUGUGAAUGAAGAAGACCAUACAGUAACGAUUUUAACAACAUAGUAACUUAAAUGAAAGCUUUCGAAUAAUUUAAUAAUUAUUUAAUAUUUUUUCGAAAUUAAAUGACCAAAAUAAAAAUUUACUAAUAAUUCAGUGACUUCGUACGUAAAUUACUUGGGGUUACAUGAUAUACUUGACAAAAUUGAGGUGUUUGGGGGGAAAUUUAUUAACAACAAAACAAAAAGGAAGAGGAAACACGAAGAUCGAUGAAUGGAAGCUAAAUUGGGUGCACGCAAACCAUGAAUGGCUUAUCAUAAAAAAUGAGUUUUUAAAACUUCAAAGGGACAUGGAAUGAGUUCAAUCUUACACACAAAUCAAACUUGGUAUUGCCAUUUACACCAAGUAUUAGAUUCUUUGGUUAUAUAUCAAAUUCAGGGUCAAAACUGAAAAUUUUUUAGGAGUCGAAACUAAAUUGUAAUUUUUAUGAUAGUAAAAAUGUAAUAUCACCAUUUUAAUAGUCUCUAUCUCUAUAAUUUUUAAAGGAUUAAAUCAAUUUUUUAUCAUUUUUAGGGAGGUCAAAGUGUAAUUUUAUCUUUACUAAUUUAAAAUUUUAAAAAUUUCAAAGGGCCUAAAUGGAAAAUUUUCUAUUUUAGGGGGGUCGAGGCCCCUGCCAGCCCCCCUGGUUCAUAUUCGUUCAUAAAACUUUGAUCUUGAUUCAAUUGUACAUAUUUAAAAAAAAAGAAUGCAUAUAUUUAUUUUCAAAUUAGAUUAAUAUAAUUGUUUGUGUAUGCGAUAUAUCAACGUAAAAUGAUACUAAUUUGAUUACGUUGUUAGUGAUUUAUAAAAAUUGAAUCAAAUCAAAAUUGUGUAUAUAAAAUUGUACAAAAUCAAAGUUUUCGAUUCAUUUGAUGGAAGCAGAUCGAUUAAUUUUGACUCAAAUUUCUCGAUUCAAUUAAUUCAAAUCUAAAUACAAUUCAAUCUAAAAAGCUAAUAACUCGAACCUACUUAAAUCAAGCACAAAACAAUCCAAAAUUUAAAAUAAUCAAAAUCGAAUCAAAUGAUACGAACCCAAACUUAAUCAAAAUGACCCAAAUAAAAAUGACUUUAAAUUAUUCAAAACACGAAUUAAAUUGACUCGAUCCAAAACCAAUCCGGGAAUAAGAAACUUUGCUUCAAAGCUCCAAUCCAAAAUUACCCCCAAAGCUACCCCUAAAUGAAAAAAUUGAACUACUUAAUAAGUAAACACCCCUCAUAAUCAGAAACGAUCCAAAGGCUUUUCCUCAUUUUUAGUUCAACGUUUCACCAAUUCUUCCUCGUUAUCUCUUUGUCUCUCUCUCUCUCUCUGGCAUAAACCAAGACCAACAUCCCUGGCUCUUUUCAGACAAAACAACAGUGUGCUUUAGACUGAAGGCAAAACUGGGUUGGUGUUGUGUUCUUUUGGGGGGGUUGGAUUGAAGUAUUUAUGUGGAGAGAGAGUAACAGUAAACCUGGGAAAGUCAGGGGAAUAUUUGUUCGAAGGGAUAUUGGAUUGUAUCCAUGAAAUUACAGCGGCGUUGGCUAUGUCCAGGAUGAGCGAUUCUGCUUAUAGAGUUGAAACCACCGCUCGUCUUGCUCAAUGGCGGAUCGACAACCUUGCUUCUUGUACUUACCGCAAAUCCGAUCCUUUCAAGAUCGGUAAAUGGAACUGGUCUGUUUCUUUUCUCCUUCUUUGCAUGCAUUCAGCUCUGAUUCCUUGAAGAUGAUUUGAUGUUAUUACAAGUUUUAAUUGGCUUAUGUCCUGUUAUGAUGACAAACUAGUUUUGGUUUUUUUGGAUUCAACACCAUGCAUUGAGACAACCCUUUAGGCUAGUUUUUUUUUUUUUUUUUGUUAAAGGGACUAAAACUAAAUUAAACCAAUUUGUCGCCCUGUUUUAAUACCCUGCCAAAGUCCUGGGUGCACAAAUCUGAUGUUAUUACAAAGCUUGUAAUGAAGACAAAACAACUUUUGUUUAUAAGGUUUUUUUUCUUAAAUUUGAAGGCAUUUAUCAGUGGAGAAAAACAGGGUAUUAUCUGUUAAAUUAUACCCAGAGAUUUCAAGAGAGAAUCCUCCAAUUGCUUCCUUCAUUAUUCGAGUUGUUAGCUCAGUGGGUGAUCGAAAGGCUUUGACUCAUCCAGGUACCCCAAUUUCUUUAAACAUUAUAAUUCAUCUUCUUUUUUUUUCAAUUUGAUCCUUUAUGGUUUAUAUUUGUUUUCUAAAUGGAUACAAAUUUAUGUGAUUCAUGCUGAAUUGAGUUCCUGUCUUAUAAGUUAAGACAAUAAUAUGUGCUCUCAAAGUAAUUUGAGCAUUGUUUUUGUGAUGCUCAAGAUUGAGGUUAUUCUUUUCUUUUUGGGUAAAUUUCAGUAGAGGUCAUCCAAUUAUGAAAUGUUACAAAAUGAUCUCUUCGUUUUUUUUUUUUAUCACCAGCUGGCUAACUAAAAAUGGGAACACCCAAAAAAAACUGAAUAAGUGACCAUUAUGUAACUUUUUAUAGUUGUGUAAUCGGAAAAUAAAUUUACUAAUAGUUGGGUGACCAUUUUAUAAAUUUUCAUAAUUGGACGACAAUAUAUAUAUAGUUAGGUGACUACCAAUGUAGUUUACCCAUUCUUUUUCUAUGUUCUUUUUGGGAAAAAUUUUGUUGUCUAUCCCUGUAUUUAAAUGAAAUUUCAGAUUUCAGUCCAAAUAAAUGUUAAAAUCACAUAAAUCUUGUGACUUUUUUUCUUCUGUCGAAAUAAAAAGUCAAGAAUUUAAACCCAAACCUAAAAUUACUCAAACUUGAAACUUAUCUAGAUCUGUUCAUGGAUUGAGUCGGGUCAAGCCAGAUCAUGUCAAAGUUUUAGGCUUGUUUUCUAGGUUUGAGCCUGGUUCGGCCCAAAGAAUGGGCUUAAACUUUUUAUAUUAUUAUUUUUAUUAAAUUAAUUGUUUCUUAGAGUUAUAUAAUAUCCAAACGAUAACAAUAAAAUAGUAGUAACAUAUAGUGAAAUGAUAACAAAAUAAUGAAAAAAUAACAAGAAAAUAACAGUUUUUUUUGUCUUUUUGCUAAUUCGGGCCAGGCCUUGGUUAAAAAAGUCUUACCCGAGUUUCAGCUUGUUUUUUAAACGAGCCUUAUUUUUUUUUUAAUUAAGCCUUUCUUCAAGCCUAUUUUUUUCCAAACCCUCCCACUUUUCGGACGGCCUUUCAGGCCGGCCCAGAACAGAUCUAAACUUGCCAAAUUAUGAAAAUUUAAUCAUGCUCAAGAUUGAAAAAGAAGAAGAAGAAAAUUUCACAAUUUUAUUGCAUCUGUUUGCAGAAAUAAUAGACAAACAGCUGAAGAACAACGACGAUUUUGUGUGGCCUAUUGAGGUUCCUUUGACAGGGAAAUUCAUUAUUGACGUUGAAUUUCUUGAUCUAAAGACUGCAUCUCCAAACGUAAGUACACAUAUUCGGAUAUGGAUACAAGUAGACUUUGAAAAAUAAAAUCCAAAUUUACUUAUAUCUGAUAAAAGUAUCAUGGAGGCCUCUGUAGUAGGAUUUAAAUCGUAUUUUAUUUUUUUUACUUAAAAAAAAGAGCAAAUUCAUCUUUAUACGUAUCAAAGAGCAAAUCAAUCUUUUCUGUUAAAAAUUUUAUCCAUUCUACAGCUAAAAACUAACGUAGUUGAUGAAAUAAUGUUAAUACAAGGACUAAUUUUCUCAGUUUUUGAAUAGUGGAGUAAAAUGUAAUUUGAUUUUUAAUACAAGGGCCUCCGUGAUACUUUUACCACUUAUUUCCCUAACAUGGAUGUACUAACAAUUAAUGUUUUGUAGGGUGGGGAACCUUCCUCUAUUUGGGCUGAAGGUUUCACAACAAAACAAUCAAACGAAACAGCAUUAGCAUGCCUUGGUAGAAUGUUAACCGAAGAGAUCAACACCGACAUCAUCAUCAACGUUUCCGACGGAAGUAUCGGAGCUCACCGAGCCGUCUUAGCUUCGAGAUCACCCGUGUUCCACAGCAUGUUCUCACAUAACCUUCAAGAGAAAGAACUUUCAACCAUAAACAUAUCCGACAUGUCGAUCGAAGUUUGCCAAGCUUUCUUACGAUAUAUUUACGGGAACAUCAAACACGAAGAAUUCCUAACUCACCGGUUAGCACUUCUUCGAGCGGCCGAUAAAUACGAUAUCUUGGACUUGAAAGAAGCAUGCCACGAGAGCUUAACCGAAGAUAUCGAUGCGAAAAACGUGCUCGAGAGGCUCCAAAAUGCAUAUUUAUACCAAUUGCAAAAGCUGAAAAUGAACUGCAUGCGGUAUUUGGUGAAGUUUGGUAAAAUAUAUGAUAUUCGAGAUGAUUUUCAUGCAUUCUUGCAAUGUGCUGAUAGGGAGCUUAUAGCUGAUAUAUUUCAUGAAGUAUUAAAUACAUGGAAAGGGUUUUAAGAUCCAAAUCCGGAUUAGGGUUGAUAAUUGAUGCACCGAUAUUGUAUAAUUUUAUGUGUUAUUAGUAAACCAGAUGACGACACCUAUUGAAAUCUUUUGAAAUCUUUAUAAUUUAAGAGAAAAAAAAAAGCAUUAUUGAUGUUUUCUCGAUGAUGAUUGGGUUUGGAUUGGGUUUAGAGAUUCAGGGUUCUUGCUAGAUAAAUGUGAGAUGGGACAUGAAGAGAUAUGGUGACAGUGAGUCGACCUGUCUCAAACCCUGUUGUGGAGGAAAUUUUGAAGUCACUUGACCAUUCCAAAUCGGGGUGAUUUUACUAGCUUGGACACAAAACAUGAUAAACCAAAUUCAAUCAAGACAAACCUGAGGAAGCUCCAGUCCACAUUAUCAUAAGCAUUUUGCAGAUCAAUCUUCAGAAUCAUCGCUCCUUGAACUCCUCUCAUAUUCAUUAUCGCAUGUCCCACUUCCUGUGUCGACCAAAAUAUUAUCAGUUGUGCUCCUUCCAGCAAGAAAACUGUUUUGGAAAGGUCCGAUGAGACGUUGUGAUACUGGACGCAGACGAUUGACAAUUGUGUUAGAUAAAACUUUAUAGGAAGUGUUGAAGAGGCCUAUAGGCCGGAACAAAGGGAUUCUAUCUGCUGCUGCUACUUAAGGAAUGAAAAGCAAAAGUACCAGUAUUCCAUGCCCCCUUGACAAAUUCAAAUAGCGAAUCCCAAUGCUUUUGAUAGAAGACUGGUUGAAUACCAUCUGGACCCGGAGCUUUCAGUCCUUUCAUGGAAAAAAGGCUAAUCACAAGGUAACGGAGAGACCUGCUUCUUAGCAAAGAGUUUAUCAAAGUAAUUUACCACAUGUUCCAUCAUACUUCUUUGAUUAGAUGCCCAAGAAUCAUCAAUGAAUAAACCCAACACCUUAUUUCGAGUUCGUCACAUCAACAUUGUAAGGUGAAAUCAUCGAGUGUUCCGUUUACCCUUAGAAAUCCAGUCUAAACGAGAUUUCUGAAGCCACAAUAAUUCUUCUUGCUUCUAACUGUUGCAAAUAAGAAGAAAACAUAUAACGAGGUGAAUUUUGAAUACCCUGCAACCUUUUGAUCAAUGACCAUUUCCUCACAAAUAUAUUGCCAAAAGAGGACUUCCACUCCUUAACAGCCCUGGUGGCUACUUCAAUGGCCUGUGUAAUAUUGCUCGAGUUCACCAUCCACUCCGUGAAGAUUUCCUCAAAAGUCCAUACAAGUAAGCCAGGCAGCUUCGAAUCUAAAAGCCCGCAAGUCUCUUGGAAGGACACAACGAACCCCAAAGUAUUAAGAAGAAUUGGAUGGUGAUCAGAAUAUAACAGUGGCAUAAUUCAAAGCUUCAAGAUUGAACAAAACUCUGUCCAACCUUUCUUGUAAAGUAAUCCUCCCAUGCUGACGACGAACCCAUGUGAAUUUAGAUCCUGAGCAACUGAUAUCCAUAAGAUGGUCAACCCAACCACUACGUUCUUCUAAAGAAGCAAAGUCAUUAAAAUCACCGGCCACCGUCCAAGGCAUUCUAAGAUUCGAACCCCAAUCAACAAGAUCCCUCCAGAACCGAUUUUUGGCUUCUGGGUUCGGUUGUACAUACACAAAAGAAGCGUGCCCUUCUUUUACAAAGCAAUUAAUGGCUUGAUCAGUAAAAUUUCUGAGAUCGAUAUCAAAGGAAAAUCAACCCACCUCGGAAUCCCUGGGCUUGAACUUCAAAACUAGCAUUCAAGGAGAGUUUUCUUCUCUAAGGUCUUACCCAUACCCCACAGCAGCUUUAGUUUCCAGCACACACAAAACAUCCGGAAUUUCUCGACGAAUUCAAUCAAUACAAUUCUUCAUGAAUAACACAUUUCCCACUCCCCUACAAUUCCAAAUUAUUGCCUUCAUUAUUGGGAGAAUUUAUUACCUGAUCAACAGGCAUGGGAUUCAUUACUCCAACUAGAGCAGCAUGUAAACUAGACUCACUGGCAAUCGUCUUAUCUUCUUCAUCCGGUGGAUCCUACAGAUGUGCUACCCAACGCUGAUCAGUCAUAAUAGCAUCAUCGGCCUCAGCUUCCAGAAUUCGUAUCCAUUGCAAUUCUUUUCUCACUAUCAACCUGUCGAUUUUGAAUCAUACUAUCUAAACCAGAUGACGGGUAGGCCACUGUUUUACCUUUAUCUUUCAAACAGGGCUUGACCCAGAUACACUACUACACCCAACAGAGUUUUGUGGAGCAAUGAAGGCCGAUUCUCCAAGUUCAGCUGAGGCCUUCGUUCUCUCCCUCCAAAAGGCCUAACACUUAGCCCAUUAUUUUCCGGUAGGGCGGAAUGCACCAGUACGGUCGGUACCGGUCGAAACUUGCAUUGAAACACUAAUAUUUGUUGUUCCGUAGUGAAUUCCGUUCUAGCACCACCCGUGCCGGUCGGAAUGCUCCGUUCUGAUAGCGAAGCUAAACAACAAACUCUAAAUUUUGUUCCGAUGCAAAUUUCGAUCGGUAUGGGCCAUACUACUAAGGGUGUGCAAAAUUCGGGUAAAACCGAAAAACUUUUUUUUCGGUCGGAGGUCGGUUAAUUAUUUUUUAAUUUUUCGGUUAACGGUUAAUUCGGUUCGAAACCGGUCGGUUAACCGAAUUUUUUCGGUUUAACCGAAAAAAUUAAUAAAUAAAAUUAUAAUAUAUAAAUAGGCUUACUAUUCACCGAAACCCAAUCCAAACACAAGUAUUCAACCCAACCCAAUUACCCAACCCAACCCAAUCAUAAAAAUUACAAAUAAUUUAAUAAAUAAAAAUAAAAUUCUAAAACUAAAGUCUAAAAGUCUAAAAAUAAUUUAAUUAUGUAGUGAUUCAAUUUGGUUAAUUCGGUUAAUUCGGGUAAUCCGGUUAAUUCGGUUAAUUCGGGUAAUCCGGUUAAUUCGGUUAAUUCAGGUAAUUCGGUUAAUUCGGUUAAUUUUUAACCAAAAAUAAAAAAUAUAUAAUUUUCGGUUAAUUCGGUUAACCGACCGAAUUAACCGAAAAAUUUCGGUUCGGUUAAUUUUUUUGAAAAAAUUUCGGUUCGGUUAACAGUUAAAAAUUUUGAAAGGUCGGUUAAUUCGGUUAAUGUUAUUUCGGGUCGGUUAACCGAAUGAACACCCCUACAACUAGGGGUAUUAUCAUAUAUAGUUUAUUCUUUCAAUAAUCUUAUAAUAGAAUUAAUAUGGUGAAUUAAUAUCAGAUUGAGGCUCAGGUUGUUCUUGAAGGUCUUCAACUAGCUUGGGAGAAAAGUUUCAAGGAAGUGGAGCUUGAAAGUGAUGAUGUGAUGCUGAUAAAAUCUUUACAGAGCGGCUUGGCAACAGUAAGCAAUGUCGAGGAAGUAAGGAUGAUUCACAGAUAUUGCUCUAAAAACUGGCAGAAAAAUUUCAGGCAUAUUCAGAGAGGUAAUAACAAAGUUGCUGACUGUCUUGCAAAGGCAGUUGAAGGCGAUCUGGAUCGAUUGAUGGUCUUGGAGGAACUACCGAUUUCUGUUCCGGAAUUCCUGGAGGAAGGCAUUAAUCUUUCUGUCUUGGCAGUGAAUUGAUCUACGUAGUCUGUUGUCUCCUUAGGCUUGUCCUAAGUUUACUUCACCAAAAAAAAAAGUAAAAAUUAUGUUAACUAUGAAGUUUAUGAAUCUAACAAGUUCAAUUGAUCGGUAUGAGUCAUCAAAUUAAAUUAGUUAAUUCAAGUAAUCAAUUUAUAAAUUUACGAUAUUUCAAAUUCAUAGUAGAAUAUUUAAUUAGGGAACAAGAUAGUUUAUUGCAUUGAUAUUUUUAAUUUAACGAUUAUUCUCAGUUAAUAAAAUAUGAUUAAUAGGUUUUUCACGUGAAAUUUAAACAUUUUAUUGAAAUAAUAUAUUAAUUAAGACUAUUUUUAUUCAAUACAUUAUAAUUAAGUUUAAAAAUAAAGGCUAUUUUGUUAAAUAAAGUUAAAAAAAUCCAACCCCCCCCCCAAAAAAGGAUCAAAUUGAACUAAAUUAUUAAGAACAAUUCAAAAAUAUUCAAAACUCAAUCCUAAUUUUCAAAUAAAUUUGUUGGAAAGCUUUAAACAAGUUUUUAUGCCCACUCUAAUUAAAAUUUAAUGACUUUUUGACUUUUACUACCCUAAUUAAAAAUUAAUUAAUUUUCACCUAAACAUCAUAUUAACCUAAUCAGUUGCAAUUUCAUCACUAUCUUAAGCUACUUGCACUAAAUAGGUAGGACCAUAUUGUAUAUAUUUUUAAACAAUUUCAUGAUAUAUUCUCAUUAUAUCUGCUCUUUUUAACACAAUAUUUAAAAUUACUCAUAAAUACGAUGAUAAUAGGCUCUAGCGCACUCGACCCCACAUUCUCAUGUAUUGACAAUAAUGCUCAUGCCAGUCGAAUUAAGACUCAAUCGACUCGUAUGAUAUAUUAUUACUACUACAUAUUUUUUUUCAUAUAAGUAAAUUAUUAAUAAUGAUAAUAAUAAUCUAAUUAUCAUAAUAGCUAACUUUAAUUAUUGCUGUACUAGUCUAGUAGUAGUGGGAUUUAACCUCAUCACUUAUUUCUCAAUAUAUGUUAUCUAAAUCCUCACUAUACAAUAAAUAAUAAACCCCAAAAUUUAUAAUUAAAUAAAAAACUAUUAUAUUAUAUUAUAACAUUAUUGGGAGAGAUAGUUACGAACUUCAAACAUGAACCGUAUUAUACAAAUAAGAAAAAGAUUCAAGCUUUUACAUGUAACUUUAUUUUAUUUCAAUAAUGUAAAACUUUUUAGAAAUAUAAAAAUAAUGUUGCAACACUUUUUAGCUUUUCUACCUUUAUUUAUAGCCCCAACCCCAACAAAAUAAACCUUUUACAAUAUUUAUUUAUUUAAGAAAUUUUAUUAAUAAGAAAAAAAAGUAGUACUAAAUUUUUAGGACUCUUUCAAGUUUUGAUUUCAUCCAAUCAAAUAAUAAUUGACCAAAUUUGCAAAUAUUUAUGGCAUUUUCAAACAGUUUUAUUUAUAUUAUCCUCAUAAAACUAUGUAAAUUAAAAAAAAAGUUAAUUUAUUUUGUUGUUAUGUAAUUUUAUCGAUUAAGUUGAUUCGUAACAUAAACUCUUAAAAUAUAUUUAUAAUAAAGAUCGUUUCACAUACCAUAUAUGAUUUGCAGAGAGUAUUAAAAGUUGAGGUCUCAAAUUUUAAAGGCUCGAAUUUGUAAUUACAAUCAAGGUUUUUAGCGGGAGUAUAAUUUCAUUUUCGAAGAGUCUGAACAAUUAUCAUUUUCAGAGGGUUAGAGUGUAACUUUACCAUAUAUUAAUUUUUAUAUAUAUAUAAGAGAACUGAAUUGAAAAUUUUCAUUUUGUGAGUUUGUUUGUCAUUGGAUUCGGCUCUGACGAAGAUGUGUUCAGUUUGUGCAUAUCUCUUGAAUGGAUACAAUUUUGUUCGAAUUACAUAACUAAUUUGAAUUUUUUUUCUUUAAAAUAAAGAAAUUAGUUUCUAAUUUCCAAUUAAAUUUGCUGGAUUGGGUCCAUUAAAUAUGAGAUAAUCACCCAAAUCAAAACAAAUAAAUAUAAUAUAAUCUCAAAAGAUAACUUUUAAAAAAAAAAAAUCUUAGCUCUUAAAAUCAAAAUCCAUUCCUAAAAAGUUGCCCUUGCAAAAUGGGAGAGAAAUCCAUUGCUAUCCGUUAUCAAAGGGAAGAAACAUUUUUGUUUCCAAAAACAAAGCUUCAAAAAACAGAGUUUAAAAACAGGGGAAAAAGCAGAGUCCCUUUACAACGACACCACCACCACCUUCUUCUUCUUCUUCUUCUUCUUCUCCUCCUUCACUUCACAAAACACAGAGAGUAGAAGCCAUUAAAGGACCAAAUCAAUGAAGCUUUCAAUUCUUUCUCCUUUACUUUUAUCAGUCUUUCUUUUCUCUCUUUUGCAGUCAUCAACUUUUGCUGUUAGAAAGGCAAGCAGAGCUUAAAAAAUUUCAUUCAAUUUUCACUUUGAUUUUUUAGUUUCUUAGUACUAAACACAAUUCUGGGUUUUUCUUGUUUUUGUCAAAGUUUCAAUCUUUAUAUGUUCAAAAUGUACCUAUUUGUUUCUGUUUGUGCAGUCUUAUAUAGUGUAUUUAGGAGGACACAAUCAUGGUUUAAAUCCCACAUCGGCUGAACUUCAUCGAGUAAAAAAUUCUCAUUAUGAAUUACUGGGUUCAUUAGUUGGAAGGUAUGCAAUUUCAUAUAAUUACAUUUAAAAAAAUCCUCAUUUCAUUUUCCCUUUUAGAUUUUAAUCCAUUUGUUUUUGUAUUUACUUUCCCCCACAGCCCUGAAACAGCAAAAGAGAAAAUUUUUUACUCAUACACUCGAAACAUCAAUGGUUUUGCUGCAAUCCUUGAUGAAGAUGAAGCAUCACAGGUUUCAAGUAAGAAAAUUUCAAUUAUUUUUCUAUUAUAUUUCAUUGAAUUUUUUUUUGGGCAUAAUGUUUGAAUGUUCAUCAUUGAUGAAUGUAGAGCAUCCAAAUGUGGUUUCGGUUUUUUUAAACAAAGGAAGAAAGCUUCAUACAACACGAUCAUGGGAUUUUCUCAGGUUAGAGAGAAAUGGUGUUAUACCUUCGGAUUCCCUUUGGAAGAAAGCAAAAUUUGGUGAAGACACCAUUAUUGGAAACCUUGAUACUGGUAAAGUUUCAAUCUUUUUCCUUUUCUUCAAUCCAUUUUUUUUGCAUGAAAUUUUGGGGUAUUUUUUAUUUGAUGUUUACACGUUUAAAAACAAAUCAUUUCUUCAAAAUGACACUUGAAAGUUGACUCAGAUAAUUGGUUUUUGACUCAAUAGUUUUCAAAUGAUCUUAAAAAAAACCAGCUUUUUUCAUGUUUUGUGUUAAUCUGCAGAUAAAAUUUGACAGUGGUAGGGUCUCAAUAGCUAAUGAUUUUUGACUAUAAAUGUCAUGCUUUUUUGCUUAUAAUAUGUGUGCCACUGUUUGCUUGUCAAUGGCCAUCAUGUUUUGACAUAUUUUGGUUAAAAAGCAAUGCCUUUUUAUUAUUUAUCUGAUAUAGGUGUCUGGCCGGAAUCGAAGAGCUUUAGCGACGAUGGGAUAGGACCGAUCCCGUCUCGAUGGCGAGGAUCGUGUCAACGUGGCGUCGAUGAUCGUUUUCGUUGUAACAGGUUGAUUCUACUUCACUAAAAUGAGUUAUUUCUUUGCUAAAAAUGGGAAAUCACAAGUGUUUUUUCUACAAAGGAAUCUGCAUAUACAAUGUAUUUUCAAUCAAAGCCAUGUUCAUGUAUAUAUAUAUAUAUGUAUGUAUAUAUGUAUAAAUGCAAUAGCAACCUCAAUUAUGAGGUAAAGUUUUGAAAGAAAAAAGGGCCCAUACUUUAAAGUUUUUCUAAAGGUGUGUAACAGACCCUCCUUUUUAGGUUAUGCAAUGAUAGUGGAAUUCAUAUGUGAAUCUCACAUUCAUGGCAUUUCUUAUAAAUUAAAAAUUUUGUUUUCAAAUUUCUUUUAUUAUCAUUGCAGUUCACAAAUCUUUCCAAAUGAUUCCUUUUUGGUAUUAAUUAUCAUUUUCACACCACAUGCUUGACCAUCAAGUUAAGCUAUGAUCUUCCAAAUACAUGAAAAAGUUGAAUCCAAAUCAUUUCCAAGUAUUUCUUAGAAUAGAAUACAAGUGAUCUUUGCUGUCUUUUGCAUCAAUGCACAUGGCUUUGAUUGUAAGUUGAUAAAGCCAUGGUUUUUAAGGUUGUAUUUGGAUUUUAUAUAUUUAAAUAUAUGUAUAUGAAUUUGACCUUCCGUGAUUUUUUAAAAUACACGAGAUGACUUAGAAAUUUGUUUUUGAAUUAUCCGAAUCCAACACUUUCGAUCCGAGAAACCUAUGUUGUCACCAAUGUCAAUUUUGAUAGGCUUUGUAUGAUGAUUAGAAAUCCUAAAGUAUUUUAAUCAUUGAUUCUUGUAGGGAUAAAGUGAUGACCCAGAAUUUUCUUUUUCAAUAAAUAAUUGAUAAAAGUAACAAUUUAAGAAAAGAAAUAUAUAUAUAUUUUAAAAAAAAGCAAAAGGGAAUAAGGGCAUUUCUUUUCUGACUAUGAUAAAAAAAAAUUCUUUUUAUUUUCUACUUGAUUCUCUCCCCCAUAGAAAGCAUAAAGUCAAAUGUCUAUUGUAUUUAUUAGUUUCUUUUGUUAAAAGUUAUAAAUUUAAAGGUAACUUUGGUUAAAAGUUAUCAUCAAUGGAGCUUAUGAUUUGUUUUUGUCUUAUGGCCGCAACUUUCCCAUUGUUAAAUAUUUCAGGAAGUUGAUCGGAGCCAAGUAUUUCAACCGAGGGUACAAGGCUUACCUCGGCGAAAAGCUCAACGCGACGUUCAAGACUGUUAGGGACCACGAGGGUCAUGGUUCUCAUACUCUAUCAACAGCUGGUGGUAACUUUGUUGAUGGGGCUAGUGUUUUCGGUUAUGGAAAUGGUACUGCGAAAGGAGGAUCGCCUAAAGCUCGUGUUGCAGCUUAUAAAGUUUGUUGGCCCCCUGUUAAUGGUAACCAAUGUUUCGAUGCGGAUAUCAUGGCUGCUUUUGAUGCUGCGAUAAGUGACGGUGUUGAUGUGCUUUCCGUGUCGUUGGGUGGUGAACCGGCUGAGUUUUUUGAAGACGGUAUUGCGAUUGGUUCCUUUCAUGCUGUUAAGAAAGGGAUAUCUGUUGUUUUGUCUGGUGGAAACUCGGGACCUGCUCCUGGAACUGUUUCGAACUUGUCGCCGUGGAUGUUUACGGUUGGUGCUAGUACACUCGAUAGGGAGUUCACUAGUUAUGUUGAACUAGGCAAUAAAAUACGUCUCAAGGGAGCCAGCCUUGCUGCAGCAACAUUGAAAUCGAAAACUUCUUAUCCAUUGAUCGGUGCUGAUUGUGCCAAAGCAGCCAACGCUUCAGCUGUUGAUGCGUAAGCUUCAUGUUCGACUCCGGAUUUGUAAUUUCAUGUUAUUUCGAUAUCAUUCGAUGAAUCAUUUUUCCUUCAUGCAGUAUCCUGUGUCAACCAGGAUCAUUGGAUCCCACCAAGGUUAAAGGGAAGAUAUUAGUAUGUCUUCGGGGAAUCAACGCAAGAACUGAUAAGGGAAAGCAGGCUCUUCUUGCUGGUGCGGUUGGGAUGAUUCUCGCAAACGAUGAGAAAAGCGGAAAUGAAGUUAUAGCUGACCCACAUUUGCUCCCGGCUACUCACUUGAAUUUCACCGAUGGUGUAACAGUAUUUGCAUACAUCAAUUCAACCAAGUAACUCUCUUAUUUCCAUUCUAGUUUGUGCUAUAAUAAUUGUUUAUGUUUCACUAAUAACUUAUGAACAUAUAGGAAACCUACAGCAUAUUUAACACCAGUGAAGACACAAUUGGAUGCAAAGCCCGCACCAUUUAUGGCUUCUUUUUCUUCUAGGGGACCCAACAUGAUUGACCCUGCAAUCCUUAAGGUAAAUUUUCAAUGAUAUAACCGCAGGUAUAAGUAUAUAUAUUGUUUGAUUAGCAAAUUUAAUGUUUUGGUUUUUGGUUUUCGGUUUUCAGCCGGAUAUAACCGCACCAGGAGUAAGCAUCAUUGCAGCAUUCUCUGAAUCAGUCGGUCCAACAGAAGAUGAAUCCGACACACGUAGAAUACCGUUCACCUCGCAGUCUGGAACUUCCAUGUCCUGCCCGCACGUUUCUGGCAUCGUCGGUCUUCUCAAGAGUCUCCACCCCGAAUGGAGCCCAGCAGCCAUAAGAUCCGCGAUCAUGACCACCGCUAGAACGAGAGACAACACUGUCAACCCAAUGCUUGAUUCAGAUGGUAACAAGGCAACCCCGUUCAGUUACGGCGCAGGACAUGUGAGACCAAACCGUGCAAUGGAUCCAGGCCUCAUUUACGACUUAACCAUCGACGAUUACGUGAACUACUUGUGUGCUCGUGGCUACAACCAAACCACAAUACAAAUGUUUUCGAACAAGCCCUACGUUUGUCCAAAAUCAUACAACGUUGCGGACUUGAACUACCCUUCCAUAACAGUCCCUGAACUCAAUGGCACAACCAUCAUUACGAGGAAAGUUAAGAAUGUGGGUACACCAGGGACAUAUAAAGCUCAUGUUCAAUCACCGGUCGGAGUUAUGGUUACGGUUCAUCCAUCAACAUUGAAAUUUACAAAGAUCGGUGAAGAGAAGAAAUUCGAAGUGAGGUUAAAACCGAGUAGUAAAAAAGUGGAUGCGAAGGGAGGUGUAGGGUAUGUAUUUGGGGUAUUGAGAUGGUGUGAUGGGUAUCAUUACGUGAGAACUCCAUUGGCAGUGAAACGUAAGUAGAAAUUUUUUGUUGUAAUUUUUAAUUGGGGGUUUCAUUUUAUCGUUAUUAUUAUUAGCAUUCCAUUCUUUUGGGGGGGGGGGGGGAUUUAGAAAAGGAAAUGCCAAAUGUAAUAACGUUGCAAAUAAGAAAUUACAUACAAGCAUGAUUCAUAUUUCUCUCUUGCAAAAUUGUAGGUAAUUAUAAAAUCCAUUUUUUGAAUUUGGGUUAUUUUAAGUUUGAUUUUUGGUUCGGGUUAUGAUAUGUUUGUCGCAUAAGAUUUCGGAAAUAUCUCAGCUCAAUUAAUUUAACAAUUAUCAUUCUGAUUAGAAUUGAAAUUUCAAAUUUUGAUAUGUACGAAACAAUUUUAGAGAGACUAAAUCUUCAACUUAAAAGACUAUAGUAUUACGAGUAGACCAAUAAUUCUGACCAAUAUUACACAAGCUGUCUUGAAAAAUUGACAUGUGUAAUAUUUUACUAUUUCCCUAUAGGGCACUUGUCAACUCCCUAAUUUUGCUUAUGAAGUCUAGAAACUCCACUGAUAGUGUACCAUAUAAUUUUGCUUAUUUUAAAUGAUUGUUAGAUUUAGUGCUAAAAAUGGAUAGAUUCUUAGUGGUUCAUGGCAUGGCGUAUGAACGCCAAGUAGAGAAUUAGCACAAAUUAUCAGAAAUAAAAGCAGCUUGAGUGUAAGUGUGACAAGUUAGUUGUAAUAUUUUUAAGUGUUACGAUGGAACACUUCAAGUGUUCCAUGAAUCAAACCCAAGAGAGAUCGGACAAUAAGAUGACUAACAAUGAUAACUCAUGCAACUAAAAAAUCUAACUAGCUAAUCACUAAGCAUUAUAUUAUGGCAAAUCAUCAUCAUCAAUGUAAUUAACUAAAUACACUAAAAAUAUUAAAAUAAAUGUUUCCCAACAAAUGAAAAAAAUAAAAAAAAUAUACAUAUACUUAAAUAACACUAAAAUAUAUACAACUUAACAAGCAAAUAUCUCUAAAAUAGCAGCAAAAUUAAUAAUAAAAUAAAAUUUAUAAAUAUCUAAACAAUAACAACAAAUAAUUGCAAUAUAAUAGUGAAAUAAUAGCAAAACAAUGAAAAAAUAGUAAAAAAAUAAAUUUUUUUUUACAAAUUCGGGUUGAGCUCGGAUAAAAAAAAACUUACUCGAGACCUAACUUGUUUAGAAAAUGAACCUUAUUUUUUUAUUCAAACCUAAUUUUUUUAUCUAUAUUUUUACUUAAAUUUUCACACUUUAGGCCGACCCGGCCAUGGACAAAUCUAGUUGUAUACUUUGGUUGAAAUUAUAAGGGUCUCAUUGAUCCAAUAACCCAUUUACAAUUACAAGCCUGUGGGCUACAAUUACAAACUGCUAUUUGAGUCCUUUUAAUCAAAAGCCCAAUCUUGAAAGUACAAAAUUCGUAUGCCACUCAAAGGGUUUUAGGUUUUUAAGCUUUUUCUCUUCUUUGUUGCCUUGCCUGCGGCUCGUUAUCGCCAUCUCUGCUUCUUUCCAGGCUCCACUCAACUUCGAUCGAGGUCAAAGGAAACUGCUUUGCACUGUAAUCCAAAUCCAUUCCAGGUCAGCUAAACCUUCAAUUUCUUCUAUGUUUCUUGAUUUUCAAUUCGAAUGAUUUGGGAUUAUUUAUAUGUAACUAUGUUUCCAAUUUUUUGUGUUUUUGAUUUUGGGUCUCUGCUAUAUUUGUUCUUUUUGGGGUUUUGAAUUCUUUUUAUUGUUAUGUUUUGUUAAUCCUUGAAUUUAUGUUGUUUAGAGAUGGUGGAUUUAAUAGAAGUAAUAUAGCUGAUGCAAUUAGAAUAUUACUAGAAUAAUUUAUUAGAGGCAAGUUUGAAUAAUUGAUAAUAAUUAGGAAAAUUUUAUUUUAAAAAAUAGGAACAAAUAAUUAAAAAAAAACCUAGGAUGAAUAUGAACCAAAAUAUAAUGAAUUAGCUCAUUUUUUGAUGUAAUUGAUGAUGCCACUUCUUUUUACUUUGUAGUUCAAUUAUAAAUUGAACCUGUUGUAAUUUUUUGCUAUUCAGACUCCAAUUUGCUUGUGUUGUAAUAACAUAAAGAUGUCUACUGAAGCACCGGCCACCAUGGAGAUCGAAACCGUGCCUUCCGAGCCUAAACUCGAGUCAAAUCCUUUACCCCCAAAGCCAAAAUUUGAGCCUCUUAAGGCACACGAGAUGUCAGACGGUCGAGUCCAAUUCAGAAAGGUUUCGGUUCCACCUCAUAGGUAUUCACCUCUCAAGAAAUACUGGAUGGAUAUCUAUACUCCUGUUUAUGAACAAAUGAAGAUCGACAUCCGUAUGAAUCUCAAAGCUCGGAAAGUCGAACUGAAAACACGACAAGACACUCCCGACAUUAGUAACCUACAAAAAUGUGCAGAUUUUGUCCAAGCUUUCAUGUUGGGUUUCGAUGUUCCGGAUGCCAUUGCUCUUUUGAGAUUAGACGAGUUAUAUGUCGAGUCGUUUGAAAUCAAGGAUGUGAAAACACUUAGAGGAGAACACUUGUCUCGUGCUAUAGGAAGGUUGUCGGGAAAGGGAGGUAAAACGAAGUUUGCUAUCGAGAACGCUACGAAGACUAGGAUCGUCAUUGCCGAUACUAAGAUUCAUAUGUUGGGAUCUUUUGCUAACAUCAAGAUUGCUAGGGAUUCACUUUGUAGCCUCAUUUUAGGUUCACCUGCUGGUAAGGUUUACUCUAAACUUAGACAAGUUAGUGCUAGAUUGGCUGAAAGGUUUUGAUUCUUUGUUAUUUGUAAUAUGUUUUUGAGAUUUUGUUAUAUGGAUUUUUAAGAGUAAUUUAAAACCCUUGAGAAAAGAAAAAAAAACGAAGAACGUGAUGUUCUUUAGGGAGUUAUUUGAGAUGAAAGUUUUGAUAGGUAGGCAUUUGAGUGAAAUGAAUGUUAUGUAAAACUAUCAUUAUAAUGUCCCUUUUUUGAAUUUAUUCUAUUUGAGUUCAGUUUGAUUUUUGAUGCUUGAGUUCGAGCUCGUUUCAUGUACAAAAUUAAGGAUUGGAUUUUAUUUUGCAUGUGUUUUACGGUUCAUGAGGAUUAAUUUUUUCGGAGUUUGUUAUUGUCCUUUCCUAACAAUGUCUUUUACAGGGUCUGAACUUGAGUUUUUUUUCCGAAAAUUAUGUACAAUUGAUAGAUUGUGAAGUAUUAAAUUGUUCCUACUUUUAAAGGGACCAAUAUUGAAAUGGAUUAUAAGUAUAUUUUUACCAAAACUGAAAUAACAUCUUCAUUGCACUUUAUCAUGUUAAAACAAAGAAAAUAAAAAUGGAAUAAAAGUUUCAAUUGAGGAAAUAAGAGUAGCUCAAGUUUUGUUUUAAAAACUCUAAAAGUCAAUAUUAUUUCUAAGAAUGAAAAAUGGAGAAGAUCAUCUUCAACCUCCAAAGAGAAUCCCAGCAGCCUGUUCUGCAUUGCCAUCACAGAAUUUCAAAGCUUCUACCACUAUUUCUCUUGCAAAUCCCAACUCAACAAGCCUUGCAACUUUGGCCUCAAAUUCAGGUCUCUGCAGAAAAAUGAAUGAAACUCUUGAUUUUAUGACAUUGCAACAAAUUUCCUCAGGUUAUCAGGGGCCAAAAAUGAACAAAAAUUUUUUGAAGGACAAAAGUACAAUUUUACCAUUAUAUUAACUUGUGAUUUCCUAAAACCUAAAGGGAUUAUAUAAGCAAUUUUUCAUUUGGUCAAUAAUUUGGGGAUGUCUGGUACAAUUAACUGUAAAAGAAUUGUUUAGAACAGACAUACCUUUGUUAUGUCACCAUGUGCACCCCCUAGGGAGCAGAGAAGGAAACAAUGUUAGAAUGAGAACAAGAAUCACUUGCAGAGGGAUUUCAUAGCACCUCUUUCCGAGCGAUAUAUCAGUGCCGGUACGUACAUACGUACGUGUUAUAUAUCAGUUAAACAUUAAACUCAGGAUGAAUUCACAGAACAAAAGCAAAACGACAACAUGGGAUGUCGAAUACUGACCGGAAGGUUGACCUCCGGAUUGCACAUUAGCAUUCUUCUCUGUUGUUCCUGUUGUAAUCUAAAGAAUCACAAAAGAUCAGUCGAAAAAAUGCAACUGCAUGAAGCCACGAAAUGAUGUACAGAUAGGAAAAAGACUUACAGCAGGGCCGGAGCUCGAUGCAUGCUUCGAAUGCCUUUCUUCAUCAAGGAAGUUAUAAGGGAUGUCCUUUUCUAAAAAGAGUAAAUACUUGAUUAACUUACAUUACAAGAAACGAAAUUCAAUAGCACUAAGUCCCGAAAAAGAUCGACAUCAACGACCCCAUGGUUACUAACCUUGCAAAAAUGGUACAGAAACUUCUCCUCCUCCCACUCUAAGAACAUUUUCCUUCAAAUCGAUAACACACUGUGUAUGAACCGCACUAGUCAGAAUUAUCGAUACGUAAGGAUAUUAAGUAGAGACAAAGCUACCUGGUGUUUACGGAGCAUAUCCAAUCCGAAGAGAAACUCCAUGUUGGGAGAGUCCAAAACCACAAAGGAGCAAGGGAAAAAUAUAUUUCCAAUCUACGAUAACACAAAAUAAACGAAGAAGUCGAAUGCCGCAUUAAGCAUAACGAGUGUAUGUACUUGUAAUGUUUAUACUAGAAAACAAGUAUGCAAUCAUACCUUGAUUGGAGCAACAUGUAUUCUUCCGAGAAUCUCCGAUUGGCCGACCCCAUGAGCAAUACCUUUAUAUCGUUGAUCUAAAAGCCUUAGCAAUCUAUGAAGAAACAAGUAAAAUAGCAUUCAAACCGGCAUACUUUUCUCCUAUGUAAGAGAGGACGGAGUCACGGAGAGGAAUAUUUAUAGCACAUACCCGCAUCGUUCGGCACAGCUUUUCGAAAUUAUAGUCGACUGUGCACCACUAUCAACAAAUGCCUUCACAGAUGAUCAAAGUAACAAAUUUAAUGAAUUUAUGAAGUACAGAACAAUGACCCUUUGUUCGAUUCUAUACAAUACCGGCCACCGCCUUUACCUGUAACGGGACACCAUUAACCUCCAUGUCAACAUACAACAUAACCACCCUCGCAAAACCUUCAGGAUUGUGUUCCAAGGCAGCAGCCCAGUUCUCAUCAAUUCCUUUCUGCAUCACAAAAAGCAUAGCGACCGGAAAAACGAGGGAUAUGCAUAUGGAUACGACCACCUUUGUUAAACAGUAAAUAGGUUCCAAUUAAGUCAGAUUAGUAGAGAAAACUAACCUGUUGUAUGGCAGCUUCGAUUUUCUUUUGUGCUUCAACAUCGAAAGGAUCAGCUUCAAGAAGAGCCUAUAGAGUAAAAUCAAAUAAGUUUAUAAUAAGUAUUGGCUCUUUUUAAUGCUAUCAAAUCGAGAUAUAACUAUAGCCAUAAACCGGUAGGGCAAGAUACUUACAAGCUCCUCCAACUCCUUUCUUCGCAAUUCUGAUCGUUGUUGAUGACGUGCCCGUAGAAUGUCUUGUAGUUUGUUGAGAUCGUCCCCGAGAAUAGCUUGUGCGAGUUCCGGGUCAGCUUGAAAUAUCUGUCCGAUUACAUUAGAAUCACGUCGAAUAUGUUGUUGGAAAACUCCAGGGUUCACAGCAGAUCCAUCAAGAUUGAAGCUCAAAUCAUUAGUAGAUUCUCUGCAAAGUGCAAAUGAUACAUAUCUUUAUCAGGAUAGAAACUGCAUUAACAUCUUGUAAUAGGCAUCUAGAGUCCCUUGUUCUAGGAGUCGGGUUGCGCUUUGCUUCUUUUAUUCAAAAAAUUUGGCAAAAUUAGUUCUUAUACGUUAGAUCAAAGAGUACUUAUAAGCUAAACGUUGGUCUCUGUACGUCAGUAUGAAAUACACAUAAAACUAUUUGCUUAUUUUAUCAAUCACGUUAAUUUUUAAUAAUAGAUAUGAUGUAAUGUCUAAAAGAAAAGAUCAGAUUGCUCUUUGAUUUAACAUAUAAUGAUUAAUUUAUCCAUUGUUUUCAGUAAAGAACCAAACGAAUAACCGAUGCAUAAUUUACCUAGAACCAGAACUUGGUACCAUCAUAAUUAAAUCAUGAUCUUUAACACCCAAUGCACUCAAUUUCUCAAAGUUCUGAAUUUCCCUCCCAUGAUAAAGAAGUUGUUGCUGUUGUAUAGGCAAAUUUGUCUGCCAUAAACCCAAACAAAGUCAUAAUCAGCAUCAGCUGAGCAUCAAACUCAACUAUCAAAACUCUAAAAGCACCAUGGCCCUUAUACUAAUAGUUGGAUACAUUUUUGCUUUCUCUAUCUAAAAAAAUAGAUAAAUUAAGCAUUGUAUAUUAAAUCAAAGAGUAAACUGAUUAUUCAGUCAAAAUUUUUAUCUAUUUCUAUAGUUAAAAACCGAUCCGUGUACGUUAGUAUGAUGUAAACGUGAUAUGCCAUGUAUCUCUAUUUGGUUAUUGCCUCGAUCAAGCCAGUUUUUAACCGUACAAAAGGAUGAAAUUUUAAUUAAAAAAAAGACUAAUAGGCUCUUUGAUCUAAUCUACGGUAAAUAGAUAAGGCACCCAGAACUCUAAUACACACAAAUAUACAUAAAAAGAGAGCAUGCAUAUAUAUAUAUAUAUAUAUAACCAAAGGGUUCUCACACUGACCUCCACUUCCAACAAAGCUUUCAAAUUUUCAACCUAUAAAAAACAGGAAAAGAAUUCAACAAAGAAAUAGGAAUGUAUGAUAAUAAUAAAGAAGGGAUAAAAGGGUACUUAACAGAUUCAUGAGGAUCAACGUCUAAAUUGAGGAUCUGUUCAUCAGCCGUCAUUACAGUAAUUCUCAUCCUUGUUCUUUCUUCUUACCUGUUGGGUUUUAAUGCAAAGGGAAGAUAAAAAAAGGGGCAAGGCUUUGUUUCAAUUGGACUUCAAAUAUAUGAAAUUGAUUUUCUGGUUUGUUGUGUGAAGCUGAGAAACAACAAUAUGCAAAUCAUUGUGCAGAGUUAAGUGUUUGCUUACAUUUCUCAUUGUUUGUUAGGAUUUUAAUGAGGCCCAAUCCAAGAACCAUAAUUUGAUCAUGUAUUUUUAUAAUUUUAUUAACAUAUCUAAAUCGGUAACACUAUUAGUUGAUGUCAUUAAAGUAGUUAUGUGGAUUUUCAUUUUACAAAUAUUCAAUUACGCGGUCAAAAACACGUAAAAAUCUAAUUAAUUGUGUUUAACCGAUGAUAAAUUUAUAUUUCAACCAAACCUUUAAGAGUGUGUUUUAAAGGUAUAGCGACAAAUAUAGUCCUUAACAUUUAUAUUUUUUUGUCAAUUUGACUCUUAUUCUUUUUUCUUUUAGCUAAAUUUGUUCCUCGGCCUUUUAAAAAGAGUUGAUUUGAUCAUCAACCUUUCAGAAAAUAGUUGAAUUGUUGUUUUCUUGAUGAAAAUACUUGUUAAAAUGUUAAACUUUUAAGCAUGUUAGCACACAUUGUAAUUUAUGUAUACUUCAUGCUAUUUUCUUUGAAAAUUUUAUAAACUUUUUUAAAAAAUUUAAAAUUUUUUAUUUUUAAAAAAAUAUUUUUAUACUUUAUAAAUUAUUUGUUGACAUGGCAUAUAAGAUAAACAGUGUCAUGUCAGCAUGAAGUACACAUGAACUGUCAUGCGAGUUGUCACGUUAAUAUUGUUAAAAAACAAUGUCUUAGUCAACAUUUCCGUUAAAAAAGAAGAAGUUAUUUGACUCUUUUAAAAUGGUUAAGGGUCAAAUUUAGCUCAAAAAUAAAAUAAUGGACAAAAAAAUAUAAAUAUUGAGAGUUAAAUUUAUCAUUAUGCCUUUUAAAAAAAAUACAUGUUCACUCCCAUGCAACAACUAAUAGUAUUAUCCAUUUGGACCUACUAAUAACAUUAUAAAAAUAAAAGAGUCAAAUAAUUCCAAGUUAAAGUAGAACGAUUAAAUCCCAAAUUUCGACAUAGUAGAUCAGACUGAACAACUCACUCUGUUUUGGGGGAGGCAAGUAUGAUUGAUUUUGACUUGAGUCAAUCCGUGUUUAAAUUUUGUGUCAUUUCAUCUUCACGUCAAUUUUGGGAAAUUUGGAUAACUUAUGAAACAAAUAAAAGUAAUGCUUGAGAAUCUUUAUAUCCAAAGGGCAUGUUAACAUUGAUAAUGAGAAUAUCAGUAAUAAAUUCAAGCAAGCAACCAAGCAAAAUAUCCCAUAUGAAUAGUUUAAGAAAUUGAAGAUGGCCCCAUUUUGACAUCCCUCUUACUUCACAAUUUUAUUUUACUAAAAAAAUAUAAAAAGACAAAAAUACCCCAUAAUAAUAUUCGAUUAACUGAUAUUCGAUUAACUCGUGACGUUAACGUAUUUUAAAAUAUGCCACCCAUUUUAAGAAAUAGAAUAUGCACUCUGUUCCCUUCAAAAAUAGCACCAUGCUUCAUUGAUUCUUUAUGUUUUGAGCAUUUGGGGUGUUGAGGCUUUUCUUUUUCUUUAGGGCAUAGAGGAUCUCCCAUGAAUCUAAAGCCAAUGCAGUGAGUGAAAGCAUUAAUGCUCAUGAAAUUGACAUUCUUCUUUAAAGAAUAAAAGAAUAUUCAUAUUGUAAACAAAUUUCACUUAAACCAUAAAUAGAAACAUAGCAUGUUUGUUAAGGUUGGUGGUAUAGUUGUUUUGAGAUGGGACUCUUCAACACCCAUUCCAUAAUUUUUCUUAAUUUGGUAUCUAAAUUUUUUACUCGAUUUGAUAUUUAAAUUUUACACAUUUUCUUAAUUUGGUACCUAAAUUUUUUCAGGCUCGAUUUGGUACUUAAACUUGUCAUAUUUCUUAAUUUUGUAUUUAAAUUUUUUUUAGAUUCAAUUUAUUAUCUAAAUUUAUUAAAUGUUGUACAAAUUAUGCAAAAUACUAACGGUGUUAUUUUUUUUAUGCUAUAAAAAUAUUGUUUGUAUUAGAUGCAAUUCAUGUUAAAAAAAAGUAUUGAACUAUUCUAAACGAAUUAAUAUUAAAUAAGAAAAAAAAUUCAAACCCAAAAUUAAAAAAAUUUAUUAUUUUCAAUCAAUAAAAUAAUUAAUUAAACAAAUAAAACUAAAAGUAAUUAAACAUAUAAAAUACAAAAAAUAUCAUAUUAUUUGUCACAUGUUAAUCAUACAUUAAUUAUUUUUGUUACCUCGUAAAAAAAUAACGUUGUUAAUAUAUUAAGGUAAUUUGUAAAAAAUUUUACAAGUACCAAAUCAAACAAAAAAAUUUAAAUACUAAAUUAAAAAAAAGUGUUAAUAUCAGGUACUAAAGUGAACCUCCAAAAAAAUUAAAAACCAACUUAAGAAAAAAUACCAAAUAAAUAUUUUUAUAUAUAAAUUUUCGGGAAAAUGACCAAAAAAAGCCCUUUUUUUCAAUAUUUACCGAAAUGGGCCGGUUUUUUAAUUAUUUACCGGAAUGGGCCAUUUUCCGCGAAAUCGCGUCCACGUCAGCGCGAUGUCAGGGUACGCGCCAGAAAAUCGCGUUCACGUCAGCGCGAUUUGCUUACGUGGACACAAAUCGCGUCCUUGAGGGCGCGAUUUGCUGACGUGGCAUGAACAGUUUCUCAUUUUUAACUUGGAAAACUUUGAAAGGCCAUAACUUUUGGCUCGGUUGUCCGAUUGAGACGAAUUUUUUUUGAUUUCGAAGGCGGUUUGCCGCAGUUUUGUCGAAAAGAUCAUUUUUUGCCCUAAAUUUUGAUUUUUUCGGUUUAAAAUUGAAUUUUGAAACAUUCAAAUCAUUAUUUUCCUUAUUUAUUUGAAGUAAACACCGGAUAUUUUUUUACAGAAUUGUCUUAUAUCAUCCUGUUAUAGGUAUAAGUCAGCUCAUUCCACUUUUGAGAAGUUCCCUAAAAUUUUCCAUUUUAUUUUAGUCCCUAAAACCUAAAUAGUCAUAUUUUCAAAUCUAAGCUUCGUUUUUCAAUUCAAAUUCAAAUUCAUCCUUCCAUAACAUUCAAAUAUUCUUAAAUACAAAAAUUUCAUGCUAAUUUUGAAAUAAUUACACUUUAGUCCCUAUACUCGUAACUAACAAAUUAUACUUUACAAAUUAGUCCCUAUUCAUCUCUAAGCAGUUUGUCAGCGCGUAGAUCUCGAAAAGUUAUUCGAAAUCAAAAAAAAAUCGUCUCAAUCGGACAACCGAGCCAAAAGUUAUGGCCUUUCAAAGUUUUUCAAGCUUAAAAACAUAAACUGUUCAUGCCACGUCAGCAAAUCGCUCCCUCAAGGACGCGAUUUGUGUCCACGUCAGCAAAUCGCGCUGACAUGGACGCGAUGUCCUGACAUGUACCUUAACAUCGUGCUUACGUGGACGCGAUUUCGCGAAAAAUGGCCCAUUCCGGUAAAUAAUUAAAAAACCAGCCCAUUUCGAUAAAUAUUAAAAAAAAAGGGCUUUUUUUUGGUAAAAUAGCCUAAAUUUUCUCUAAUUUUUAAAUUAAAAAAAAAAAGGCACCUACAUGCAUUUGAACCCUUAUUGGGUACCAAAUAUCAGAUCACAAAAUUUAGGAUGUAAUUUAUAAUUGUUUGUUGCUGCUUUGAUGACUGAUGACCUAAUCUUGAACAUUAUUAAAAAAUAUUAAUUAUAAAAAUAAUAUCAGAUCCAAAAUUCAGCAUCAGAAUAAAGGGACUAAAACCAGAAUUAGAGGUUAAAAAAUGGAGGGGUUUAAGGCAAAUCUUCAAUCUUAUUUGUAAAAUAUGAUUGAAAUUUAUAGUGUAAAAAUGAAGUUCAAACACUACAUCUAGAGACAAUAGGAUAAUCAUAUAAACAACCAAAUAAGAAUGGAAUUAUAGUAGAUAAAAUCCCAACAAUGAAAUUAGAAAGGAGGAGGAGCUGCAUAACCCAAGAAAGGUCUUCCACAAGAAGAAGACAAUUUAGGAUCACAGUAAUCUUCAUGGAAUGUAUCUUUGAGCUUGUGAAACCCGUUCUUGAAAACCCCAAAGCCGAACAACAGCCCAAUCGCAACCACGACUAGAAUCAAACAAGUGCACAGCAUGCAUACUCUCCCACAACACAUCUUCUCAUCAACAACCAAAUAAAAAGGGGGAAAGCUUUAUGGGUAUCUUGUUCUGGGGGGAUUUAUGGUGUUUAUAAAGAAAAGAAAGGGAUAUAUGGGUUGGGUUUUUGGAUCUGAGAAGGAUGAAAACGUGAAAUGGAAGGGGGAAAAGGACUGGAUGAAAAUACUUGGACGUUAGGGGGAUUGAAGAGGAAGAAGAAGGUGAAUUUGGCUUAAAAGGUAAGCAAUAAAAAGGGGAUUUUGUGAGAGAGAUUCUUGCUUUGCUUGUUUCCCUUUUCUUUACCCUUUUAACUACUACCAAUUCCUUAUCCAACAACACAACAUGCACAAAUUUUUAUUUUGCUUUAUGGUUUGAC